UAGAGGUGAGUAAACUUGAGCUUCAGCUUUCCUCAAACACCUUAAUUUGAAGACACAGUUCUCUCAUACUAAAAAAGACAUGGAAGUUUGCCUUGUAAUUAGAGAUUUGGUUUCAUUGCUUGUUGUUGGGUUAUUAAUGAUAUGGGGAUGGAGAACUUUAAACUGGGUAUGGCUGGCCCCAAAAAGGCUCGAAAGCUGCUUGAGACAACAGGGUUUUGCAGGGAAUCCUUACAGGUUCCUUUCUGGUGACAUAAAAGAGCUCUUCACUAUGAGCAGACAAACAAGAGCCAAACCAAUGCCUCUUAGUGAUGAUAUUGGGCCUUAUGUUGUUCCUUUUCAACAUCAAACUGCUAACCAGUAUGGUAUGUUUUUUUUAUUUAAUCUGCAAAUUAUGAUAAUUCUUUGUUAUUUAUGUAUGGAAUUUAUUGGGAGGAAAUGCAGGAAAGAAUUCAUUUACGUGGUUUGGUCCAAGACCAAGGGUGAACAUUACGGACCCUGAAAAAAUAAGAGAAAUACUUAACAAAUUUAAUGACUUCCAGAAGAUACGUACCAAUCCUCUGCUUAAUUUGCUUGUAAGCGGCCUUGUUAACCUCGAAGGAGACCGAUGGAGCAAGCGUAGAAAAAUCAUAAACCCUGCAUUUCAUCAAGAUAAGUUGAAGGUAUAGAAUAGUGAUGGGUAAUCAGACUUUACAGAAAACAUCAUACUUAAACCAAUGCUUUUCUGAUUUAGAAAUAAUUGGAUGCAGAAUAUGUUGCCAGCAUUUUAUCAAAGUUGUAGUGACAUGUUAAGCAAAUGGGAGAAGAUGGUGUGUACAGAAGGAUACAGUGAGUUAGAUGUGAGGCCUUAUCUCGUAGAUUUGACAAGAGAUGUGAUUUCCCGAUCUGCUUUUGGAAGCAGCUUCGAAGAAGGCAAACGAAUUUUCCAAUUACUAGAGGACCAACUCGUUCUCACAAUCAAAUUAAUACAAACUGUUUACAUUCCAGGAUGGAGGUAACCGUCAACUUAAUUUACUUGAAAAAGGUUGCAAAUCUUGGAAUUGGCUAAAUUCGUGUUUGUUUUCUUGAAGGUUUUUGCCAACGAAGACAAACAGGGAGAUGAAGAUGAAACACAGAGACAUAAAAGAGUCGCUUAGGGAAAUGAUAAAGAGAAGGGAGAAGGCAAUUAAAGCAGGGGAAGAGAGCAAUGAGGACUUGUUGGACAUACUUGUGGAAUCCAAUAUCAGAGAAAUGGAAGCAAAGAAUAUGGGGAUGAGCAUUGAGGAUGUGAUUGAGGAAUGCAAGCUGUUUUACUUUGCUGGCCAAGAGACCACUUCGGUCUUACUGGUGUGGACUAUGGUUUUAUUAGCAAGGUAUCCCGAUUGGCAAAGUAAAGCAAGAGAGGAGGUUUUGCAUGUUUUGGGUGACAAUAAACCUGAUGCUGAUGGCCUUAAUCGUCUCAAAGUUGUAAGUCCCUAGCAUGUCUUUUGAAGGUCCGAUCAAUGAGGUCGACAACUCAAAAACUUUGUUUCUUUUUUCGCUAAUUCUACAGGUAACGAUGAUAUUGUACGAGGUUCUAAGGCUGUACCCACCGGUGGUUGAGCUAGGACGUUCCGUUCCAAAAGAAAUAAAACUGGGGAAUUUGUUGUUACCAGUAGGAACAGAAGUUUCGGUUCCGAUCCUGCAGAUCCACCAUGACAAAGAUCUUUGGGGUAACGACGCACGGGAAUUUAAGCCAGAGCGGUUCGCGGAAGGGGUUUCCAAAGCAACAAAGAGUCAAGUCACGUUUCUGCCAUUCGGAUGGGGUCCUAGGAUCUGUAUUGGCCAAAAUUUUGCUUUGAUGGAAGCCAAAAUGGCGAUGGCUAUGAUUCUCCAACGCUUCUGGUUCGAGCUUUCCCCUUCCUAUGCUCACUCUCCUUACAGCAGGGGAACUCUUCGUCCACAGCAUGGUGCACAGAUAAUUUUACAUAAACUUGGCUGUAAUUGAAUUGUUAUGUAAACAAAUCUUUGUGAAAACAUAGCGUUUUAGUGUAUCGUCAAAGUCCGGUGUCUGUAAUGGUACAAAUUCGAUGCAUGAAUAGUAAAUUUUGAGAUGUUUGGUGAAGUCCGAAAUAAUAUGCAGAAAUUGAGCGUCUAUGGUGGACAUAGUUGAGGGACUAAUGUGGUAAUUAUCAAUCAAAUAAUUCGGUACAAAGACUUGUAUGGAAAUUAAAGCAGGGGGAGUUGAAAAUGACUACUCUGCUUUGGGCAUCAAUUUAGAAAGAUUUAAAGUACAACUGUGUUAUCAGUUAAGGGAUUUGUUUUAAAGAGGGAAUGACAAUUAAACCUCAUGGUUUAUUUGUGCAAGGGAACCGAUGAUGGGAUGAUUAUUCUUAGUGGUAAAAAAAACCAUUAUGGAGGUUAUUACACUUGUUAUCAUCAGCUUAAAAUUCGAAUGGGUUCAAGUCGGAUUAUAUCGAGCUUGUAAGAUGAGUUCACGGACCAAGUUUGCAUAAUAAAAUACCUAAAUGAAAAAAAAUUCUAUUUUAGAGGGACGAGAGCCCCUAUCAACUCCCGGCUCAGCCACUAAACAAUACCUAUAUCAUAUAAAUAAAUACCACCAUCUAAAAGACUCAAAGAAAAACACUCAACAAAGGAUAAAUAGAUAGAUGUUGGAUAAGUGUCCAAAAUAUGAUUUAAGUGAAGAUACAUGUGGUAGGUGUUACGGAAAUGUGAAGACAAGAAUCCCACUAACGUAUGGGAUGUGUGCAGUUGAAUGUAGGGAGCAAAAAGAGGAGUGAAUCAUUUUGGUAACAUUUGGACAAGAAACAUAAUGAACAAAAUGGAAGGAGAGGAAGCUAGUAAAAGAAUUUUUUUGGGUCAUAUAAUUUGUUCAUUUUGGAGUUGAAUUAUAAUUUUUUUAUAUAUUAUUUUAAAAUUUUAAGGAGUUAAAACAAAAUUAUUUUAUUUUCAGAUGGUCAAAGUAGAGGUGAUAAUGGGUUGGGCUAUUCGGCCCGGCCUGACGAUUCACUCGAAAAAUAGGAGGGUUUAGGUAAAAAUAUAGGCUCGAAAUAGGGAUUUGAGCAAAAAAAGAGUCCCGUUUAGAAAAUGGGCCAGGCCUCGGGUAAAAUUUUUUGGGCCCAAGCCUGACCUGAAUUAUAUAUUAAAUAUAUUUUUUAAUUUUUAAUCAAAUAUACUUUUUUUUAUUAAUUUGGUUAUUAUUUUAGUUCUAAUUUGUUUCAAUUUUAAUAUAACCACUUUUUAUUAUAUUUUCAAUUUGUGUAUUGUUUUAAGAAUUGUUUUAGUCUCAUUUUUUUAUUUAUUUUUUGUUUUAAUAAUUGUUUUAAAAAUUUUUAUUUAAUGAAAUAAGCUAAAAAAAUUAAUAUGGGCUUGGCCAGGCCAGGCUCGGGCCUAGUAAUUUUCUUUUGGGCCGGACUUAGAUAAAAUUUUAAGCCCAUAUUUUAAAUUGGGUCCUAACCUAAAAAAUGAACCUAAAAUUUUAUAUGGGCCCGACUUGGCCCUUGAUUACCUUUAGGUCAGAGCUAUCCUCGUUUUGCAUUUCUUUGAGAUUCAGCCUUAUCUACUGUGAUUGCCCACUCAAUUGAGGGUUGAGUAGAAAGAUUUGGUGAAGCAAGCUAAGCUAUCAAUCAAGGUUUGCAUAAUUAUUUAAAUGUAAUUCUAAUAUUAAAAUAAUUUUUUUAUUAAUAUAGUAUCAACAAGCAUUAAAUGUAAUGAUCAUAUACUAUUACAUUUUAAAGAAGAGAAAACAUGUUUGAACUUUAAAAACCACGUUACUAAAAACAUUAUCACAAACCUUGAAAUAUAAAAAAUAAUUUUUUUAAUAUAAUAAAAAAUUAAUUUUAAACCCGAGCUGAAUAAAAUUCUAAUUUUAGUUAAUGAUACGAACAACAAAUCAAUAUUCUAAGCCCGAGCCCUGCUCAUUUUUUUAAUAAACACCAAAAAUUUAUUUUGAAAAUAAAAAAUAAAAAAAAUAUUUUAAAAAUAUUUUAAAAAUAAAAAAAAUUAAAAAUAAAUAUUUAUUAUAUAUUCAGGCCGGGCCGGGCUAGCCUUGGGCUAAAAAAAUGGUGCCCGAGGCCCGGCCCAUUUUCUAAAUAGGCCUCAUUUUUUGUCCAAACCCAUAUUUUGGGCCUAUAUUUUUACCCGAACCUCUCAUAUUUUGGGCGGACCGUCGGGCCGGACCGGGCCGCCCGGCCAUGAACACCUCUAGGGCAAAGUCACUCAAUGAAUGCAUGGAAAGAAAUAUUGCAACUUGGUGACAGCUUUUGUUGGAGUUAUAUGCUUUUUUUUACAUAGUGGAACUUUCGGUGGAUUUUCAAGUUUCAUGAACUUUAUACCCUAGGCUUUACGUGAAAAAAAUCAUUGGACUUAAAAGUCUACCAAAAGUUUCACUAUAAUAAAUAAAUAAAUAAAUAACAUUGCUACAAGACUACAACAUAAAGUUACAAUAAGAGCUUAUAACUCAACAAAGGCUAUCAAUAAAUAAUCUCAAGCAAGCUAAAGAGAAAUGUUGAGAGUACCACUCAAAUAGUGAUUGACUUUAAAAAUUGAAAACCCGAAGUUAUUGUUGACACCAUUUUUUGGAUGAAAAUGUGUCGACUUGGGUUUUGAAAAUGAAAACGAAAACGAGAGUCGCCACCAAUCCUUUUUGAUAAGGUGUGACUGGGUCACCUUGAAAAGUGGUUGUUUUUAAUAAACGAUUUGAUUUUAUUAAAACAACAGUUUUGGUCCACGAAAUUCAGAAAAAUGAGUUCGGGAGUCGGUUACGCACGAGGAAGGAUUAGCACCCUCGAUACGCCCAAAAUUGGUACCUAGUUGAUUACUUAAUGUCUUAAUGUCGAAAAUUGAAAACUUUGGAGAAUUUUAAACAUACGAUCCUUGUAUUAAAACGUUAAAAAUUUUCAAGAAAAUGGGAUAUUUCACGUUAUUCGAUAAAGAGAAUCAUAUCCUAGUAAGUUAGGACACAAUAUCUCGAAUUUCCGAUAUCAUUUAAAACUUGAGUUUGAAAAGAUUCGUGUAAUAAAGUUUAAAAUAAUAUUCAAUUGUUUAAAUCAAAUGAAGAAAUCGCAACCCAAUACGUUAGGGCACAAUUUCUCAAAAUAUUAAACAUUGAAUAUUGCAUUUAUUUCGAAAAAUCCUCAUCUCGAGAAAACGUGUCACAUCCAAUGCAUUAGAAUACAACGUAUUGAAUUCUCGAUAACGAGCUUUUUCUCAUUUUUUAAAAGAGUAAUCUCGAUUAUUUAGGUUCAACGAAGAAAAUCAAAACCCAAUACGUUAGGGCUCGAUUUUCUCAAAGAUUCCAAAUACCGAGUAUUACUUAUAUUUUUAAAAUUUCUUUUUUGAAAUCCGAGUAAAAAUGAAUGCAAAAUAAUAAAUGAUGACAAUGUAAAUAAAAUGAUACAAGCAAAACAAUAAACAAUAAAAAUAAUCAUACGGGCAAGGUAACAAAUAAUUAGGAACUAAAGAAAGAGAACAAACAAUAAUAAACAUGCAAAUAAAUGAACAAAAUUAACAACAUGAUGCAAAUAUGAAAGAUAUAUAAGCACAUAUAUAUACAUAAAAUAAUGAGAAUAUGAAAAAAUGUGUGUAAUUGGACAUGUUUCGGAAUUAUUAUACAUUUAAAAAUCAUGUAAAUGUGUGUACAUACAUAUAUACAUAUAUAAUAAUCAUUAAAUAUAUAAAAAUACAUAUGUGUAGGUAUAUAUGAGUCAUAAAAUGUAAAGAAUAUAUACAAGAUAUAUUUUGAACGUAUAAAGUAUAUGUAAAUGUAUAUAUAUAAUAAAGGUGUAUGAAAGCAUAUUUUAUAUACGUGUAUUUAUAAAAUGUAUAUAAAUGUAUAUUGAUUUACCAAUACAUAUGGAUUUAUAAUUAUAGAAUAUAUAUAAAAUAUUUACAUAUAUACGUUUAUGCAUAUAUAAAAGUAAGUUAUUAUAAAAUAUGAGCAAGCAGAAUACAUAAAUAUAUAUACAUAAAAUAAAAAUGAAGAUGAAAAUAAUAUAAAACUACUUAAUAUAUUAAUAUAAUAGUAACAAAUUAAAAAAACAGAAAAUAAAGCUAAUAAUAAUUAAUAAUAGUAGUAAUAAUUAUAGCAGCAAUGAUAAUGAUAAUAAUAAUAACACUAAAAAAAUUAAUUAAAUAAUAAAAUUGCUAAAAAGGGAUUAAAUCGAAAUAAAAACAUAAAUACUGGGCGAUUUUGAAAUAAAAAACGGGAAGGACCGAAUUGCAACGCGCGUUGAAAAGGAAAGGGCCAAAACUGCAAAUAAACCACAGCCCCAAAACGCAGCGUUGAAAUGGACCAAGUCGAAAUAAAAAUAAAAUUGCAGGGGCUAAAUUAAAAAUAAGAGAAAAUAACGAAAAAUGAUCAAAUUGUAAUACGCUGCAAAAUCAGGGGGACUGCACGCGCAAAUAGCCCAAAAACUGAAAACACGCGGAUCCUCCGGGUCGGGUCGGGUCGGGUCAGGUCGACGUGCGGAUCCCCUUUGCUAAAACGGCGUCGUUUCAUGUUUAAUAUAAAUACUAAAAAAAGCUAAAAAAAACAGUUUCAUCUUUUUUUAAAAAAAACAGAGAGAAAACUCUCUCUUUUUCCCUCAGGUCCGGCCAUGGUCCGGCUUGGGAUUUCCGACGAGUCUCCGCCGCAAAGCCACCGUGUGUGGCGGCCGGAGGUUCAAAAUCAGACCUUUUUGGUCCUUUUUUAAAGUCCAUGGCCUCCAAGCCACAGAUCCGGGGCUGAAUCUCCUGAAUCGAAAGCCGAAGACCCAAAAAAUGGGGUGAAAUCCUUCGCCUUCCUCCCCCUUCCGGCGCUGCGCAGGUAAGGUUUUUUUUAACUCCUUUUUUACUAUCUUUAUUUAUAUAUAUACAUGAAGAGAAAAGAGAGCAAAAUAAAUAAAUAAAUAAAAACUUCAAAACUGAAGAGAAAAAGACCUUGAAUCUGCCUUAUUUAUUUUCUUUCGGUUGAAUCUGUUUUUGUUUGUUACAAAAGUUUCCAGGGAAGAGAAAAAAAAAGAGAGUUACAUGCUUGGCUUUUAUAGCCGAUAUUAAUUUCUAUUUUUUGUUUUCUUUUUCCUUUCUUUUCUUUGGCUGUUGCGUGUUUGCUUCCUUAUUGCAGGGUGAUUGACGGGAGUGGUUGGCGACAGAGUCGGUGGCCACUUGCACUGAUGAAGCAGCGGUGGCGGCGCUAGGGUAGGCUAGGGACGGCGGCAGUACUAGGGUUUCAGAAAACUGAAACCCUAGUUUGACAAAUUGGUUUCGGGCCUGUUGGGCUUUAAAUUAUGGGCUUUGUAAUUGGGUUUUGGGUUUAGGUGAUUUGGGUUUAGGUGGUAUGGGCCCGGGUCAAAUUUUGGGUAAUGGGAUUGGGGCAAAAUUGGGUUGUACAGUUAUAAUAUCCCAAACGAAAUCAAACUAUAAACAUUAAAUUUUUCGAGUCUUCUAGAUACUGUAAAAAAUUCAGCUCCAACGGACACCAAAUGAACCUAUGAUCGAAGAAAAUACGAAGACUAGUCUGGCUAAAUCAAUCUGCCAAACUUACUUUUUAUCUUAUCUUUAAUUUGCUGUGAAAUUCAAAACUACGUGUAAUACUCAAUUUAUGCUCGACCCAUUUUGUUAAAACAAAUAAAAAAGAAAAGAAAAACAAAAUAUUUAAAUUUAGCCCAAAUGUCCAUUUACACAGCCCAAUUACAAUUGCAAAUAAAAAAAACUAAAACUAAACCCGAUCCUAAGCAUCAGCCCAAAUUCGACCCAUGCCCAAAACGAAUUCAGAUGCAGAAACCCUAGCCCAGCCUUAAUGCAAGCAAAAGUCGAAAGCCCUAAUAGUUGGUGCGCCGCUCCUGUAACAGCCCGAUUUUGGGCCUAGUCGGAACAGUGGUUUUGGGACCACAAAUCCGACGAGAAAAAAAUGUAAUGGCCCGAAUUUUCAGAGGUGUCAGAACGGUGAUUCGAGAUCACUAAAUUCGACAAAUGGGUAGAAAAUAUUAUUAAUUUAGUAAGUAUAAGUUAAAUGUGAAGUUAGGAAAAUUUUUGAAAUGGUGAAUAGUACACUAGAAAUAAAUAUUAAAAUAAUUAGAAUCGAAAAUGAGGUAUCGAGACCUCGGGGAUUUUAAACCGAGCCAUAAAUAUUUUUAUAAAUAUUUAUGUAGUCUUAAAAAGUUAGUAUUAAAGUUUCGUUAAGAAAUUUUAAAGUUCCGAUAAUUAAUUGAACAAAAAGGACUAAAUUGUAACAAAUACAAAAUUAUGAGAAAUGAUUAAAUAGUUUAAAUGAUAAAAGGAAGAGGGCUUAAAAGGUAAAUAGACCCAAGGUCUAUUUGGGCUGCACGGCAAAGGCAUGAAAUCAGCAACAAAGUAAGGAGAAUUAAGGGCAAAAUUGGAAUAUUGCAAAAUUUACUUAAUAAAGUUAGGACCAAAGUGGAAUUAUCUAGAUUUCUCUUUAUUUUUCUGCAUUAUCAUCAGCAUAAACACCAUAGAAGGGUUUUCUUAAGCUGGUUCUUCCUAUUUUUACUGCAGGUAAGUUCAAUUCUUGAUUAUUUCUUGAAAAUUUUGUGUUUUUGUGACUUUUACAACUAGGCCCACUUAUUGUAUUCAUUAGUUUUUGAUUCUAUGAAAGAAGUUGAAAGUUGCUAUGAAUACAUGCUGGAAGUAUAUGAUGAUUUAGCAUGGAAUUAGAGCUUUAAAUUGUUCAUAUGCUGAUUUAUUGAAAGAAUUGAAUAGAAAGUGAAUGUUUGGGACCUAAUAGUAAAAGAGUUUGAAGAUAGAGUUAUAUGUGGAAAUUCUGAAUUUCAAUAGUUGUGAAACAACUUAUAAUGUCUAGGUUAAGUAUUAAUUGAGAAAAUUAAAUUAAUUGAGGGGUUAAUUGAGAAAGGACCGAAUUGUAUAAACUGUGAAAUUUGGGGCAAAAAGGAAAUCAACAUUUUACACUAAAGCAGUUUUGGACAGCAGCAGUAGUAUAACUUUGAAAAAUCACCAAAAAUUUUGAGAAUUGAAUUAGAGGGUGAAUAAAAUAUAAAAUUAAAGCUCCUUGAAUCUAGUUUCUCAUAGAAGAAACGGUGUAAGCAAUGGAAUUGUAAAUCAUGAGAUAUAAUAAAUUUUGUGAGACAAUGUCAUAAUGAUUUCGGGUUCCCCUAUUCUGACUUUGGAAAAUCAUCAAAAAAUUAAGAAAAAUAUGAGUUAUAAUUUAUAUGAUUACAAUCCUUAAUGAGUCUAUUUUCAAAGAAAAUAAACGGAAAUAUCAUCCAAAUUCUGUACAAUUAUAUAAUUCAUUUUUAGUGAAGAGUGGUCGAAACUGUCAGACAGCGAAAUAGGGGGAACUUUAAAGAAUAAACUGUACUAUUUGGCUGAACCAAAAAUUCUGAAAAUUUUAUGGUAAGAAGGUAUGUGAGUCUAGUUUUAAGGAAAAUUAACGGAUCUUAAUUUAGAGCUCUGUAGCUCUAGAUAAAAAUAAUUUAGUGACUCUGACUCAGAUAAAUAGCUUUGAAUGUACAUGUGAGUGAAUAGUGAAAUUAUAGCUAGUGUUGUUUAAGUGUGUUAUACACAUUAAGGAUAUGGAAUGGAGAGGAGGAGGAGGAGGAAAAAUUGGGAAAUAUAUGAAUGAUUUGUGUAUAAUUGGUCAUAUGCUUAAUUAUAAUUGAUAAACGAUGAAAUAGAAAUGAUGCAUAUAUUUGUGCAGUAUUGGUCAUGGUUUAAGCUCAUGUGGGAAAAUAAAGUUUAUAGUACGUGUGUAUUAUAUUUUUGGUAUAUGAUUUGGCAUUAAGUAAUGUCGUGAAUGGAUAUUGAAUUAACACAUGUUGGAAAGUUUGAUAUAUGAAUAAAUAUUGUGAUCAUGAAAGAGUGUUACAGCUCCUGCCUUCAGCACGCGUCGAGCCUCCGCGCCAAAUCCACGUGAGCCUCCGUACACUCCAACUAGCCUCCGUACCUGCAACAAACAAAAGUAGACAAAACAACAGCAAAGGAUAGGAAGAAAAGGCAGUAAAUAGUGAAGAUUUUUCUGUAAUUUUCUUUGGAUUUCAUUAUGUAUUUUCGGCUAUAAAAGAGCCAUUAGGAAUAUUUGUAAAGGGUUUUUUUUUUACCCUCACACACAAAGAGAAUAUACACGCAUACAAGAUCAAUAUAGAGAAAGAAAUAAAAAUAAAUAAAUACAAAGAAUAGAAAAUCAAGUUUCGAAGGUGAUUCUUUGAAAAAUCCUUUUCGUUUUUCUCAUUUUUCCUUUUUCCUGGAUCUUUUGUUCAUUUCAAGUAAAAAAAGUAUAGAAAGGAAACAAGUUUAGAGGAAGGAGGUUUACCUGGACGCCGGACCUCGCUCGCCUCGUCGAAAUCGAAGGCUGAGAGGGGAUAAAUCGGUUUUGCGGCAGAAGGAAAGGGGGGCUAGGGUUCUUGUUUUAACUUUUUUAAAAAAAAUAGAAAAGGUUGCUAAUUAGGUUUUAAUGGGGGAUUUAUGUGUGUUAAAAAAACGACGUCGUUUAGCGACCUUUGACCCGUGCGGUGACCCGACCCGAGGAAAGGAUCUGCGCGUUUUGGGUCUGAUGGGUUUAUUGCGCAACAAGCCCUUCCGCAUUUGUUUUUCGUUUCAAUUCGGUUUUUAUUUGUUUUUUAAUUGUUUUCUCAUAUUUAGUUCCAAUUUCAAUUGGGUCCAUGAUUAAACGACAUCGUUUUCAUUGAUUGGGUUUGAAGGCCUGGUUUUGUGCGUCUAAAUUGCAGCAAUGGUCCCCCUGAUGUGCAAUAGUUCUCGAUUUAGUCGUCUCCACACUUAUUUCAAAGUCGUCCUUGAGAUUUUGUUUUAUUUUUGAAAUUGUCCUUGUCUUCUUUUAAUUUAUAAUGAUAUUAUUAUUAUUGUUGUUGUUAUUAUUACUAUUAAUAUGGGUAUUGUUAUCAUGUUAGUUUAUAUCUAUUUAUUUACUUUUAUUUUAUUAUGUAUUAUUAUAUAAUGCUUUUAUCAUGUAUCAUUUUAUAUAUUUUCUAUGUUAAUCUAAUAUGAUAUAUAUAUAUAUAUGUAUUUUUGUGAUCUUAUUUUAUAAUACUUUUUUAACCCAUUUAUAUGCCUUUAUGUUUUAAAGAUUUAUAAUAUUUUGUGCAAAACUAUUAUAUAUAUAUAUAGAUAUACAAUUUAUAUUAGACCAUUUUUAUCGUACAUAUACGUAUAUAUAAUUUAUAUUUUGAAACUCUAUUUUAUUAUAUUUUAUGCCUCUAUAUACAUCAUUAUAUGUUUAUUAUUCUUUAUAUUAAACCUGCCAUUUCACUUAUAUAUUUUUAAAACCAAUGUGUAUUAUUCUUUCUUCUUUGUUAUUUUUUAUCUCUUAAAAUAGAUUGAUAAUUCAUUUAAUUUUUGAAUGUUGUAUGACCGAGAUUAUCGUUGCCAUUCUUGUCCAAAUUUAUCCAUUGCUUGUUCAUAUUAUUUGAUAAUUUAUCGCUCACUAGCAUGUAUCGUAAUUUACGAAUUAUCAUUUUGAAUUAUGUACUACCAUUCAAUCGCAUUACAUUUGUUUGGAAAACAUCGAAAUCGUUUUGCACAUAAACCUUCAAAAUGCUUGGUAUCCAAAAUUCUCGAGAGGAUUGUGCCCUAAUUUAUUGGGCUUCAAUUCCCCUUUUUGAUUUUAAAUAACCGAAUACCCCUUUUUCAAUUUGAACAUAGAAAUUCCAAAAUAAAAAAAAACUCAUUCUCGGGAAUUUGAUGCGUUGUGUCCUAACGUAUUGUAUAUGACAUAUUUUUCUCGAGACGAGGAUUUUUCUAACAAAUAAAAAUAAAGGCAAUAUUCGAUAUUUAGGAAUUUUGUGAAAUCGAACCCUAACUUACUGGGUUUUGAUUUUUUCAUUUGACCCAAGUAGGAUAUCCUUCACAAAUGCACAGAUUUUAAAAAAUCAAAAGAUAAACUUAAUUUCGAGGAUUUAAAAUGUUACACUCUGACUUACUGAGUGUGUCAAUUUAUUUCUUUGAAAUAAGUGAGUCUUAUCAUCCAAUUUAUUUUAUUCAAAUUUUCUUUUCCAAGGAUCGUAUUUUAAAAUUUUUUCAAAAUUUCGACAUUAAGACAUUAAGCAAUCAAUUCAGUACCAAUUUUGGGCGUCACGAGGGUGCUAACUCUUCCUCGUGCGUAAUCGACUCCCGAACCAGUUUUCUCAAAAUUCACAGACCUAAAAUUAUUUUCAAGGUGAUCCGAUCACACCACAAUAAAAGAUCAGUGGUGACUCCCAUUCCUAUUUUUAAAAGUCGAUUCCUGUUUUUCAUAUAUAAAAAAAUGGUUUCGACACUACGGUUUUGUUUGUUUCCCUUAGAACAACUUUCAAAAAGUUAAUUUUGAAAAAUGGAUUGAAUUUUCAAAAUAGAUGAUAUUUUUUUGUGUUAAAAUUUUAUUCGUUGUUUGAAAAAAAAAUUUAAAUCAUUUUCUUAGAAUUAUUUUUAGUGAAACAAAUAUAUCAUAAAUAUAUUUGUUAUAAAAUAUUAUAUUAAUAUUUUCUUUUAACAAUUAAAAUAUAUUUUGUGAUAAGGUAAUAUUUUAUAAUAAUUAAUAUCAUAUAUACUUAAUAAUAAAUCAUGUCUAAUUAAAAUUUAAUUUCAAUUAAAUAUAUUAAUAAAGCUACAUUUAAUCAUAUUUUAUAUAAUUAAAAUAUUAAUAUAAAUAUUUUUCAAUAAUAUAUUAAAGAAUAUUUAAAAUUUAAAUUUAUUAUUACUAAGAUUAAUUAUUAAAACAAAAAUGUAAUAUUAAAUAAUUUAUCCAAUGAUAAGUUAUAUUAAUAAUUUAUUAUAUUAUUAAAUAUAAAUAAUUAAAUAUGUAUGUUUAAUAAUAUUAUGUUAUAAUAUUUAUUACUAAUAUUUUAAUAUUUUUAAACAACCAUGUUUUAAAGAUGGUGGUGAUGGUGAUGGUGCAGGCCCCCUUGUUAAAAUUACAAUAUUUUUAAGUGGGAUGCAUGUAAUAUAUUGUUAGGGUUUUAGAGUAUGUGGUCUUUAAAAGGGUUAAAUUAUAUAUUUAUAUAAUAUGAUUAUUGUUUAUAAACAUAAUAUUGUAGAUAAGUUUAUAUGUAUGUCAAUAUGUAUCCUACUCUAAGGUUAAUAUGUAUUUUUUAGAUGUGGGUUUACCUAUAUAAUAGUAUGAAUCCAUCAUGUGGUCUCAUGAAAUAUACAAACACAUAUCGUGCGAACACAAAGUACGAACAAUAAAAAAUACAAAUCAAGACCCAAUUGAAUAAUUGAAUAACGGAUAGGUAAUAAUGAAUAUCAUAACAUUUACUAUCCCCUCUUUUCUAGUGAGUUAUUGUUUAUGAUAAAUUUGCAACAAAUGUUUUUAUCAUUAUUUUGUUGGUAAAUGAUAAUAAGAUUAAACAUUACUUUCUUAAGCUCCUUCAAUUCUUUGGACGUUAGCGAGUAAACUUGAGCUUCAGCAUUCCACAAACACCUUAAUUUGAAGACACAGUUCUCUCAUACUAAAAACGACAUGGACGUUUACCUUGUAAUUAGAGAUUUGGGCUCAUUGUUGGGUUAUUAAUGAUACGGGGAUGGAGAGCUUUAAACUGGGUAUGGUUGGCCCCAAAGAGGCUCGAAACGUGCUUGAGACUAGAGGUGAUCAAGGGCCGGGUUAGGCCCAGUCUAGAAAAAAAAUUAGGCCCAUUUUUUAGAUUUGAACUCGGCUCGGCUCAAAAUAUAAGCUUAAAAAUUUGUCUAAGUUCAGUCCGAAAGAAAAUUGUUAAGCCCAAGCUCGACCCAUAUUAAAUUUUACAACACCAAAAAAGUAUAUUUAAAUAAAAAUAAAAUAUAUAUAUUUAAUAUAUAAUUCGGGCCGAGCUGAACUCGGGCCAAAAAAGUUUUACUCGGGGCUGGUCCGUUUUCUAAACAGACUUCGUUUUUUUUGCCAAAAUCCAUAUUUUUACCCGAAUCUUCCUAUUUUUUGGGGUGUGCCGUCGGGCCGAACUGGGUAACCGAACCAAUGAUCACCUCUGUAAUCACUGAAUUUUGUCCGGGAAUAACUUUCGUUAAAAAAAUUUUAAAAUUAAAAAAAAAUUAACUUUUUUGCUUUUUGACCCCUAAACUUUUCUAAAAUUUCAUUUUAACCCCUAAACUUUCUCAAAAUUACAGUUCAACCCCUAAACUUUUCUAAAUUACAUUUUGACCCCUAAAAUUUCUUAAAAUUACAUUUGGACCCUUACACUUUCUCAAAAUUACGUUUCGGCCCCAAAAUUUUUGCUACAUUUACAAAUUGGUCCUUCUGUCAGAAAAUCCCCAAUAAUCCGGCGGAUUUCGUGCACCUGCCCCACUAUUUCCGGCAGCCGGCCUAGGGCAUGGCCUUCCCCACCUGCUACCUGCAAACAAGAAGCAAAAUCAACUAUAAAAAGGAGUUUAAACUCCAAAAAUCGGACCCCCACCCACGAAAAAAAUAAAAAAAAAAAACUUGAAAGAAAAAGAAAAAAGCUUUGAGAAAGAAAAAGAAAAGGAAAAGAAGAGAGGGGAGAAGGAGAGGCCGACCAUCGGCGAGCCACCGGAGGAGGCGACGGCAGCAGCGGCAUCGACGGCGGCGUAGAAGACCGAACGGAGAAGAAGAAGAAGAAGAAAAAAAAAGAAAGAAGAGAAAGAAAGAAGGAAGAAGAAGAAGAAAGAAACAAAAAAAAAAGAAAAUAUUUUGUAAUAGUCGGCCCGGCCCGACUCGACCUGCACGACCCGUGACCCGACCCGACAGCACCAGCAACCUAGCAGGCCACGGUAGCAGCCCGGCGGCCCAAAGAGUAGCCCAAAAAGAAAAAAAGAAGAAGAACAAAGCAAAAAAAAAAAGCAGGCCAUUUUCAGCAGGCCCAGUGCAGCCCAGCAGACCCAGCGAACCCAGCAGGCCAGGCCCACACGCAAGCAGCCCAACAGAAAAAAAGGGAAAGAAAAAGAAAAGAAAAAAGAAAAAAGAAAAAAGAAGAAGAAGGGGUUCAAUUUGUAUUAUCCGUUCGGCGAAGCUCGUGUUUUGAGGAUUUUUUUUCGGUAAUUUUAUUUUUUAAUUUUAAUUUAAUGCUCGUAUUUUUUUUAAAUAUUAUUAGUAUUUUAUGCAUUUUUAUAUUUUGGCAUUUAUAUUUUUAAUUUAAUUUACUUCAAUUUUUAUUUUAUUUUAUUUUAAAUAAUUUUAAUAAAUGAGGCAACGAAUCGAUUUAACAUAAAAUCGUUGAUUUCAUUGCUAUGUUGGGUGAAUAUCAUCGGUUUGUGUUAAACACGAUACACCCUUUUUAAAAAAAAGAAAAAAAUCGAAAAAAUUCUAAAAUUCUCAUUUUUUUAAAAUUCUCGUGUUUUAAUAGAAUCACGAUUAAAUAUUAAGUUGAAUCGAUUUGGCACUAAUUCGAUGAUUUCAUCUCCAUGUAGGGAUGAAUAUCAUUUAUUCGUGUUAAAUAUGGUACUUCUGAAAAAAAAUCGGGUUUCAAAAAUUUUCGUGUUUUCAAAAAUUCUCAUGUUUCAAAAAUCUUCGUGUUUUAAAAAUUCCAGUGUUUCAAAAAUUUUCGUGUUUUCAAAAAAAAAUUUCUCGUGUUUUUAAAAAUUCCCGUAUAUCGAAAUUUUCUUGUUUUCAAAAAAAAAAUUCCAUGUUUCAUAAAUUUCCGUGUUUUCAAAAAAAAAUUCUUGUUUUUCAAAAAUUUUCGUUUUUAAAAAAUUUGACCGUGUUUCAUAAAUUUUCGUAUUUCAAAAAAACCUCGUGUUUCAAAAUUUUCGGGUUUUUUUAAAAACAAUUCGUGUUUCUAAAAUUCUCGUAUUUUAAAAAAAAUCGUGUUUUCAAAAAAAGAAAAAGUUGUUGUGCUUUAAAAUUAUCGUGUUUCAAUCGGAUCACGAUUAAUAUUAAAUUGAACUCGUAUUUUUGAAAAUGAAAACAACGCGCGUUUAACGAGAUACCAAUUUUGGGCGUCGCGAGGGUGCUAAUACCUUCCUCGCGCGUAACCGACUCCCGAACCUUAAUUUUCUCUGAAUUUUUACGUGGACCUAAAAUUACCUCUUUUUAGAAAAGUUUAAAAAUGAAUUUUUCUUCUAAAAAGAGAAUUUUGUAGGUGUCCGAUCACACCUAAAAAAAGAUCGGUGGCGACUCCUUUUUUUCAAAUAAAAUCGAGAUUCAGUUUUCAAGUUUUUAAUAAUUACUUCGACAAGCGCCCGUGCGCAAAAUUUUUAAGUCGCUACAGCCUCUACUUGAGACAACAGGGUUUUGCAGGGAAUUCUUACAGGUUCGUUUCUGGCGACAAAAAAGAGCUCUUCACUAUAAGCAUACAAACAAGAGCCAAAACUAUGCCUCUUAGUGAUGAUAUUAGGCCUUAUGUUAUUCCUUUUCAACAUCAAACCGUCAACCGGUAUGGUAUGUUUUUUUUAUUUAAUCUGCAAUUUGUGAUAAUUCUUUGUUAUUUAUGUAUGGAAUUUAUUGGGAGGAAAUGCUGGAAAGAAUUCAUUUACGAGAAUUGGUCCAAGAUCAAGGGUGAACAUUACGGACCCUGAAAAAUAAGAGAAAUACUUAACAAAUUUAAUGACUUCCAGAAGAUACGUACCAAUCCACUGCUUAAUUUGCUUGUAAGCGGCCUUGUUAACCUCGAAGGAGACCGAUGGAGCAAGCAUAGAAAAAUCAUAACCCUUGCAUUUCAUCAAGAUAAGUUGAAGGUAUAGAAUAGUAAUGGGUACUCAAGACUUUAAAGAAAACAUCAUACUUAAGCCUAUGCUUUUCUGAUUUAGAAAUAAUUGGAUGCAGAAUAUGUUGCCAGCAUUUUAUCAAAGUUGUAGUGACAUGUUUAAGCAAAUGGGAGAAGAUGGUGUGUACAGAAGGAUACAUUGAGUUAGAUGUGUCGCCUUAUCUCGUAGAUUUGACAAGAGAUGUUAUUUCCCGAUCUGCUUUUGGAAGCAGCUUCGAAGAAGGCAAACGAAUUUUCCAAUUACUAGAGGACCAACUCGUUCUCACAAUCAAAUUAAUACAAACUGUUUACAUUCCAGGAUGGAGGUAACCGUCUACUUUAAUUUACUUGAAAAAGGUUGCAAAUGUUGGAAUUGGCUAAAUUCGUGUUUGUUUUCUUGAAGGUUUUUGCCCACAAAGACAAACAGGGAGGUGAAGAUGAAACACAAAGACAUAAAAGAGUCGCUCAGGGAAAUGAUAAAAAGAAGAAAGCAGGCAAUUAAAGCAGGGGAAGAGAGUAAUGAGGACUUGUUGGACAUACUUGUGGAAUCCAAUAUCAGAGAAAUGGAAGCAAAGAAUAUGGGGAUGAGCAUUGAGGAUGUGAUUGAGGAAUGCAAGCUGUUUUACUUAGCUGGCCAGGAGACCACUUCGGUCUUACUGGUGUGGACUAUGGUUUUAUUAGCAAGGUAUCCCGAUUGGCAAAGUAAAGCAAGAGAGGAGGUUUUGCAUGUUUUGGGUGACAGUAAACCUGAUGCUGAUGGCCUUAAUCGUCUCAAAGUUGUAAGUCCCUAGCAUGUCUCUUGAAGGCCCGAUCUCUGAGGUCGACAACUCAAAAACUUGGUUCUUUGUUUCGCUAAUUCUACAGUUAACAAUGAUAUUGUACGAGGUUCUAAGGCUGUACCCACCAGUGAUUGAGCUAGGACGUUCCGUUCCAAAAGAAAUAAAACUGGGAAAUUUGUUGUUACCAGCAGGAACAGACGUUUCGGUUCCAAUCCUGCAGAUCCACCAUGACAAAGAUCUUUGGGGCGACGCCGCACGGGAAUUUAAGCCACAGCGGUUCACGGAAGGGGUUUCCUAAGCAACAAAGAGUCAAGUCACGUUUCUGCCAUUCGGAUGGGGUCCUAGGAUCUGCAUUGGCCAAAACUUUGCCAUGAUGGAAGCUAAAAUGGCGAUGGCUAUGAUUCUCCAACGCUUCUGGUUUGAGCUUUCCCCUUCCUAUGCUUACUCUCCUUACAACAUGGCAACUCUUCGUCCACAGCAUGGUGCACAGAUAAUUUUACAUAAACUUGGCUGUAAUUGAAUUGUUAUGUAAGCAAAUCUUUGUGAAAAUAUAGUGUUUUAGUGUAUCGUCAACGUCUGUCUGUAAUGGUACAAUUCCGAUGCAUGAAUAGUAAAUUUUGAGAUGUUUGGUGAAGUCCGAAAUAAUAUGCAGAAAUUGAGUGUCUAUGGUGGACAUAGUUGAGGGACUAAUGUGGUAAUUAUCAAUCAAAUAAUUCGGUACAAAGACUUAUAUGGAAAUUAAAGCAGGGGGAGUUGAAAAUGACUACUCUGCUUUGGGCAUCAAUUUAGAAAGAUUUAAAGUACAAAUGUGUUAUUAGUUAAGGGAUUUGUUUUAAAGAGGGAAUGACAAUUAAACCUCAUGGUUGAUUUGUGGAAGGGAACCAAUGAUGGGAUGAUUACUCUUAGUGGUGAAAAAAAAACUAUUAAGGUGGUUAUUAUAGUUGUUAUCACCAGCCUAAAAUUUGAAUAGGUUCAGGUCGGAUUAUAUUGAGCUUGCAAGAUUAGUUCACGGACCAAACUUGCAUGAUAAUAGGUAUUCACAACAAGAUAUCUAUAGUUUCCAACAAAGUCACAUGUGAGAUCGUGCAUUAGAACCGCAUAAACAUGUUUUAUGUUUAGAAUAUGAUAUGUGUCUAUGUGUAUAGAAUCUACCUAAUAUAUCAUAUUAAUGAAUAGUAUCAAUUGCGGAGCCAAAAAAUUAUUUGUGAGGGGUCAGAAUUAAAUUGUAUAUUUUUACAAAAAUAAAAAUUAAAUUUCACUAUUUUAAUAGUUUAUUUAUUUUUAAUUUUUAAAUGAUUAAAUUAAAUUUUAUAAAUUUUUAGGAUCAAAGUAUAAUUUUAUCAUUACUAAUUUAAAAUUUUAUAAAUUAUAAAAAGUUUAUAUGAAAAGUUUUCUAUUUUAGGGUGGCCAAAGCCCCUGUCAACUUCUGACUCGAUCACUUGCGGUUAGUUGGGUAAAGACUCAAGAAAAAUAGCGGUGUGUUUGGAUGGACGGUGCGUUUACUUGCGGUUAGUGUAAAAAUAGCGGUGGCGGUGAGAUUAGAUACUAUAGCAACACUGUAGCGUGAGACAAAAAGUAAGUUAAACGCACUGCACUGCACUUAAUCGUCUAUCUAAACUCACCAUAAGUGUCUAAAAUAUGAUUUAAGUGAAGAUACGUGGGGUAGGUGUCAUGGAAAUGUAAAAAAAAAAAAGAAUCCUACUAAUGUAUGGGAUGUGUACAAUUGAAUGCAGGAGUGAAUCAUUUGGGUAACAUUUGGACAAGAAACAUAAUGAACAAAAUGAAAGGAGAGGAAGCUAGUAAUAAAAGAUUCUUUUGGGUUAUAUAAUUUGUUUGGCAUAUAUUUUUAUAAUAUUUAAAUAUCAUUUUGGAGUUGUUGAAUUAUAAUUUAUUUUUAUGUUUUAAAACAUAAUUAUUCUAUUUUUAGAGGUCAGAGUAGAGGUGAGCAUGAGUCGGGCUACUCGGCUCGGGCUGAAGGCUUGCGCAAAAUGUGAGAGAUUUGGGUAAAAAUAUAGGCCCGAAAAAUGAGUUUAGACAAAAAAAAAUAUAAGGCCCGUUGAAAAAACAGGCUAGGCCUUGGGUAAGGCAUUUUGGCCCCAGACCCGGCCCAACCCAAAUUCACUAAGGGCACGUUUGGUUCGCUGUAUUGGAAUAGAGGCGUAAUGUAAUAGAGGCGUAAUGGAAUAGAGACGUAAUAGCAAAUCAAUUGUUUGGUUGAAUGUAAUGGAAUAGAGGCGUAAUAGUAUUCUUAUAUUUGGUUGAAUGGAAUAGAGUUGUAAUAGCAUAAGGAAAAAAGUUAAAAUGACUAGAAUACCCUUAGCAGAAAUUUGUUUAGAUAAAUGAUUAUUGUUAUUGUUAUUAAAUUUUAAUAAGAUUAUUAAUAUCAGUAAUAAAUAAUUUAAUCAUAUUUUAACAUAAUUAUUAUUAAAUAUAAUUUAAUAAAAAUAUAUAAUUUAAUAAAAUUCUUAAUAUUAAAUAUUCUUAAUAUUAAAUUACUAAAAUCAUAAUAUAUAAUACUAUAAAAUAUAAUUUAACAUAAUUAUUAUUAAAUAUAAUUUAAUAAAAUUCUCAAUAUUAAAUAUAUUCUUAUAUGAAUUUACUAAAAUCAUAAUAUAUAAUACUAUAAAAUAUAAUUUAAAAUAAUUAUUAUUAAAUAUAAUUUAAUAAAAAUAUAUAAUUUAAUCUAAAGUUUGAAUGUGUAUUUACCUAGCAAAAAUCAAUGAACUCUCGUGUAACUAUAACCUUAAUAAUAUAUGAUGUAUAAUUAAUAUUUCGUGACUAAUUAAUAGCAUAGAGAUAAAUAUAGUAAUGACGAAUUUAUAGUAUACGAUUAAAAUGCUAAUAAUUUAUAGUAUACAAUUAAAAUAUUAUAAAUAAAAUAAUAGUAAAUGAUAUAUAAGAUAAAUUAACAUAUAAAUAAUUCAGAUAUGUAAAGGAUAUGGCUGAAUAUGGUUGCUCCAAUAAUAAAGGAUAUAUAAUAUAUCAUGGUGUUGUUUUGUUUAGAUAGUUCGGUAACUUAGGAGGGUAUGUAUGAAGAACACAAGUUGAUGCAGAUAGAAAGACGACAAUAUUACAUGAUUACAAUAUGAUAUAGUAUAUAUAUAUAAUUUAUGGAUUCCUUGCAAUCACGUGGGUUCUCUAGCCAUUUUAUUUAGCAUAUCCAGUGAUAUUAAGAUCCAGAAUUAUAAUACAACUAAAAUCUGUGCACACUUAUGGAUGAUCCAACAAAGCCUCAGUUGGCUUUAGGUUCCAAAUCUUGCAACCCACAAACCAUAUUUGCUGGCACUGCAACAUCAAUCAUCUUAGGAUAUGCCAAGUUAAGAUCUGUUGCACCAACAAAAACAGAGGAGAAAUUGGAAGGCGAUCCGAAAAAACCCAAGGAUGCUUUUUCUUUUCUUUUUUUUUUAUAAUCUUUAUAGACUGGUUAUAUUGAGCAUCAACUUACUUUCCAUGAUGUUUUUGAAAGUCUCUUACAAAAAGGGUAUUCAACAAAUAAUAUAAUCAGACAUAUUGAUAGGACAAAUUGAAACUAGUAUUCUAUGAUCAUAAUAAAGAGUAAUCUUUAAUCAAAUGCGUGAAGGUAUUGAGAUGUCAUGCUUUUUCAUGAUUUCCUGUUUUACCAUGGCGAUGUUCAUUGGAAUAGUCCCAUCCAAGAGAAUCAAACCAAUGCUCAGCAAGAAAUGUUCAAUGCAUAUGUAAUUUUAAUUACAGAAGUUAUAUGCAGCUUAUAUGAGUUCAAGAUCAUAAAAUACUUCAUGGACAAAAGGAAACCCUUUCUUAUCACUGAAAUGAAAAUAGGCACUCUUAAUUUUCUAUUGUCAAAAGUAGCAAGCCAUUUUCCAAAGAAAAGGGAAGAUGGAUGGUUCCAGAAAGAAUACCUCAUCCUUUGUCAAGUGUGGAUUAUAUAGCAUCUCCUCUCCCACAGUGGUUACCUAUAAUCAAUGAGGUUUAUAAAAUCGAGCAAUCAUUUAUAUAUGUAAGAAAUGAUAGGAAUAAAGUUUUAUAUCUUACUGAGAAUCCUUUGUAGUCAUGAGCUGGAUAUAGCAAUGUCUCUUUCGGUAAUGUAAAAAUCUGGAUCCAUGAAACAAAUAAGUCCAUAAAUUUUAUUCAAAUUUUGACAAUUACAAUAAAAUUUUGAGAACUCAAAGAAUGUGACCAUAAAAAGUCCCCUGUCCUUACCUGUGAAUGCACUGACUUGUAGAGUUGCUGUGAACUUCCACCCUGCAAAAUGCAUUAAUCAGUGCUAGUCAAUGGCUACUGAAUGUGGGAGCAUUAGAGAAAAUUAUCUUAAAAACUUAAGUAUAACAAAAUUAGACAAUGACAUCCAGAUGGAAAGAAAUUGCCAGCAUAUAAGACCAGCAUUUAUGUACUCACGACUGAAAAUCCUUUGCAAAAAGUAUAGCCCUGAUAGUUCAAACUUUUACUUCAAGGAUGAUUUAAUUACUGAUUAGUUUGCCAUGAGGCUUGUGAAUGACAAACACUUUAUGUGCAACCACAGUAACAAGGUAAGCACCAAUAAGUAGAAGACUAGACGAAUAGGUAACCAAGAGUUAGAGCUAAAACAGACAAACAGAGCUACUAUCCAAUGAGCUAAAACAUACAAACAGAGGUAUAUUUUAAUAAUGAAAAUAAUCGAUUGCCUUAAACACCAUAUAGUGUUCCAAUCAAUCAAAUUAUAGCAGGCAUUAAAACCUUUCCCUUUCGUUAAUUCACAACUAUUAGCUUCAUUAAUCAAAUCCUAUGUACAGUUGAUCGAUUGAAAGUGUAACAUUUCAAAGACGAAAUUUAAACGCAAAACUGGUUAACAUUGAAAUUACAUGUAAAUAUAACCUAAAAAAUCAAAAAAUUAAUCAUAUUUUCAGAUUUCAGGCCGAAAUGGAAUGAAAUGAAAGGUAAAUCCAUUUUUUCCCCAAAAAAACAAAAAUAAAGAAAUAAUAUUUCAAGAACAGAUCAUUAAAUUCAUGGUAUAUAUAAAGAAAUUUAAUUGAAAUCAAAGGAAUAGAAGAAGGGAAAAGCGUACUUGGAACCAUUGCUGCUACUCUCUGUUACUCUGUUACCUCAUACGAUUCGUUAAAGGGUUGUUAGGGUUUGUUAAAAGGUUGGUCAGGAUAGAAGCAUGAAAAGGAGGGAGAAGGUUGGAAGGAAAUGGGAAGAAAAAUGAAAAAAAGAAGAAGAUGCUGCAACGGCUUGGAGGGUAAAAGAGGACCGAUUAGGUAAUCCUUUCUUUUGGAAGGGAUUACAAAUCGGCGCUGCAUAAGGGAAAAUGGGGAAUCAGUGCGCUGCGUAAUAGGCCCGUAUUAAGGCAAUACAGCCAACCAAACAUGGUAAUCAGUGGGGCCACGAAUUAGGGGUGUAUUGGCUAAUCCAAUACACCCAACCAAACAUGCUCUAAAGGACAAAAAAAUUUGAUUUUUUAAAUAUUAUUUUCUCUCUAUUUUGCUAUCAUUUUACUAUUAUGUUGCUACUAUGUUAUUGUUAUUUUUGAAUAUUGUAUAAAACUUAUUUUAUUGUUAAUUUUGUUAUUAUUUUAAAGACAUUUGUUAAUUUUGUUAUUAUUUUAGAGACAUUUGUUUGUUAAGUUGCAUCUAUCUUAGUGUUAUUUAAGUAUACAUAUUUUUUAAAAUUUAUUUUCAAUUUAUUGGGAAAUAUUUAUUUUGAUGUUUUUAGUAUUUUGGAUGUAUUAUAUAUAUUAAAAUUAUAUAAAAAUUAAUAUGGCCGAGCCAGGUCAGGCCCAGAUUUUAGCAUUUUUAUUCAGGUCGGGCUUGAGCAAAAUUUUAAGCCCAUUUUUUGGGCCAAACCAGGCCUGGGCUUAGCAAAUGGGCCUAAAUUUUUAGUCAAGCUCGACCUAAACCCGAUCCGGCCCAUGCUCACCUCUAGAUCAGAGCUGCCCUCGCUUUGCAUUUCUUUGAGAUUCAGUCUUAUCUACUGUUGAUUGCCCACUCAAUGGAGGGUUGAGUAGAAAGAUUUGGUGAAGCAAGCUAAGCUAUCAAUCAAGGUUGGAGAAAGCUUAGGAGGUCACAAUGCAUAAUUAUUUAAAUGUAAUUCUAAUAUUUAAAUAAAAUUUAUUAAUAUAGUAUUAACAAGCCCUAAAUGUAAUGAUUAUAUACUAUUACAUUUUUAAGAAGAGAAAACAUGUUUGAACCUUAAAAACAUCAUUAUUAAAAAUGAUAAUUACAAAUUUUAAAAUAUAAAAAAUAUAAUUAAAAAUUAAUUUUAAACCCGAGCUGGAUAAAAUUCUAAUUUUAGAUAACGAUACUAAUAAGAAAUCAAUAUUAAAAUGAAAAUGAAAAGUAAUUUAAUAUAAUUUUUGAGUCUUGGGCAAAGGCACUCAAUGAAUGCUUGGAAAGAAAUAAUGCAACUUGGUGAUAGCUUUUGUUGGAGUAAUAUGCUCUUAUUAUAGUUUUAUGUUUUUAUCUUGCAAAAACAACAUAUUGGAGUUUUCGGCAUGAUUUUUUCUUAAUACUUUACAUGAAAAAUAAUAAUGGGACUUAAAUUGCUACAAUAUUACAACACAAAGUUACAAUAAGAGCUUAUAACUCAACAAAGGCUAUCAAUAAAUAAUCUCAGGCAAGCUAAAGAGAAAUGUUGAGAAUACCACCCGAAUAGUGACUGACUUUAAAAGUUGAAAACCCGAAGCUAUAUUAUCUCAAACGAAAUCAAACCAUAAACAUUAAAAUUUUCAAGUCUACUAGUUACUGUAAAAAAUUCAGCUCCAACAGACACCAAAUGAGCCUUUGAUCGAAGAAAGUACGAAAAAUAGUCUAGGUAAACCAAGCUUCCAAACUUACUUAUCUUAUCUUUAAUUUGCAGUGAAAUUCAAAAUUAAGAUUUUGUUUAUUUCACUUGGAACAACUUUCAAAAAAUUAUUUUUGAAAAAUGAAUUGGUUUUUCGAAAUAGAUGAUAUUUUAUUGUGUCAAAAUUUUAUUCAUUGUAGGAAAACUUUUUUUAAAUCAUUUUCUUAGAGUUAUUUUUAGUUAAAUAAACAUAACAUAAAUAUAUUUGUUACAAAAAAUUAUACUAGUAUUUUCUUUUGACAAUUAAAAUUUAUUUUAUGGUAAGACAAUAUUUUAUAAUAAUUAAUAUCAUAUAUAUACGUAAUAAAAAUCAUGUUUAAUUAAAAUUUAAUUAAAAUUAGAUGUAUUAAUAAAGCUACUCCUCCACAACCCGCAUCCGCAACAGCACCAGCACCAGCACCAGCACCAGCAUCAGCACCAUGGGACAACUAUUGGGUUUCCUCCACCUGCCUCUAUCGCUCCUCCUCAGUAUUACCCCCAAGCCUACCAGACCGUGCCGGGUAUUCUACAAAUAUGAAAAAACCUUCUUCUCUUUUUAUUAGCUUAUCGAAAUGAAGGAUUUUGAGAUUUGGGCUUUUGUUAGAUGGAUGGUUAAUGAUAUUUUUUAGAUGAAAGAUACAAGUUUUUUAAUGUUUUAGAAGAAAAGGUGUUUAAAUAUUAGGAGUUUUUUAGCAGAGAAAGAAGAUAAAUAAAUGCAUAGAGAUACAUUAGCAAUAUUAUUUGGAUUUGGUUGUCUAAUGUAAUGAAGAAUUUUUUAAGGGUGACCUGAGUAGGUGUGGCAAGAUUCAAAGUUUUUUCUAUUAUAGCAGAUAUAUAUAUAUUAAUGGUUUAAGAAGACUAGAAGUCGGUUUCAAAGGAAGAUGAGAAAUAAAAGCAUUUAUAUAUAUGAUAUGUCAUUAAUUCAUAAACCAAAUAUAUAAAGUAUGUAAAAGUGUCAGGGGUUAAUCAUGGUGUUUUGACAAUCCGGUAACCUUCAACUUGAAGAAAACCUUAGGUUUCAAAAAUUUAUGUGAAGAGUUAGAAUGGUAUGCUUCAUGGAUCUGAAUAACUAGAACAGUGUAAGAGUGGUAUAUUGUGUCAAGUUUGGUUUCUUGUAUAUAAUUGUAUCGAAAACAAUGUUACAUGAGUUAAAAUGAAUGUUCAUCCAAUUUAACAAAGCCUGCAUUAUGUUGAUCAAAAUUUUUAAUUCAUGUUGAGGUUUCUUCCGUGAUAUCUUUGAUGUCAAGGUUAUGAUGUUGCUGAAGGGACACCUGUAAGAGAUAAGCCACCGUGCUGUGGCAUUGGAUUCGGAUGGUUCUUGUAAGUGUACAUAGUUUUCUUUGUUUUUAAAGAGUUCUUUACAUAUGAAGUAAAACAAGUAGCGACUUGAUGGAUAUGUCAUUAAGCUUUAACUUAAGCAAAUCAUUUUCCUUCAUCUCUAAUUGCCAUUUCUUUAAAAGAAAAAGAGGAAGUUUUGUAGUUUACAGUUUGGACAAAUGGAAGUUAAUAUAAUGCACUAUUUGGAUGGACUAUGGAGAUAUCCAAUCAUAUUGGAUGAGUUAUAAGAAACCUGUGAGUUCAUAUUGGGUUUACUUUAUAUCAUAAUUAGAUUGUUGAGCUGGCUGUCAUACUUAGAUGGUAUUUCACGUUGCUACUUGUUAAACUAUACCACUUUCACAUUCAUACGUGAAAUGGCUGGGAUUUAGUGCCAUUCUACUUAGCAGCCUCGUGUAAUACACAGGUGAAAUGUUUAUGUCUUCAUGUCACCUUAAAGUUCCCAUUUCCAUGACGGUAUUGUUAAGUAAAGACUGGUACAUACCCCAAAAUACGGAAAUUGUUUUGGAUGUAUACUAUACUUUACCAUGCAUGAUUUUUUACAAGUUUGCAUGGUAUUUUAUCAUUAUAUUGGUCUUUAUUUUCUAUACUCGCAGCUUCCAUUAAUAUAUUUUUAUGAAUUUUAUCAUUAUGCUGGUUUGAAGGUUCAUCAUUGGUUUCUUCAUUGGGGGCCAUCCCUGGUAUAUUGGAUUCUUUGUUUUACUUUGUGCAAGGAUAGACGACAGAGAGAAAGCAGGAUAUAUUGCAUGCACAAUUGCCGUGAGUAUCUUUUCUAUCAUUAUUUUUUUCUUUUCCAAUUUUAUGAAAGCCAUCCUUCCUGCCUUGUAUUGAUCAUCAAUUUAACCAUUAUAUAUAUGUAUCUUAUGUAUUUGUACCAUGCUUUAUCUUCAAUGCAAAUAUAAGUUAAACUACAAAGAUUGGAUUGUUAAAAAAAGUUUAAAAUGUUAAAAAAAUUGAAAAUUUUGAUUUUGUAAGAAUGAUAGAAAACCAAGGCCAGUGCUUGCAUAUGUUAUCUACUACAUGCACAAUCGGGUCGAUGUCUGUAUAUGUUUCAUGUUUAGAAAUCGUGUUCAAUUGGGUUACGAUAUGUACAAUUGAAGUGUCAAUUUAUAAUUUCCUUAUCAAGAUUACACAUUUUUUUGUUAAUAUUCGGAAUCACUCAAUGGUUAUAAACCCUGAUUGGAUACUGUCCACAAAGUCUAGUUGGAACAUCCCUUGUAUUCUUUGUCCUUUCUAAGAACUUUCCUUUCCAUCAUUCUCGCUUCUGUUUUUUUUUUCUUCCCUCUACUUUAAGUCAUUAUCUAACGUAGAUAUCCCUUGUAUUCUUUGUCCUUUCUAUGGCAAUCGAGUCAAUUGAUGGCAAGCCAAAAAAACAAAAAGAGCAGCUAUCCUGUCUUACUCGAUUGCCAUCCCUCCUGUUAAACACCAUUAAGAAAAGGAAAAUUUUAGUUAAGCUUUAAAACAGCCAUGUUUUAACGAUGUUGGUGAUGGUGCUUGUGCAGGCCCUUCUUGCUACAAUUACAAUUAUUCUUAGUGCAACAAUUAAAGCUGGUGGGUGAUAAAGCACACCUCUUUUGACUGAGAGAUGUAUAGGUUCCCAAAUAAUAUGUAUAUGCUCCCCCCCCUCCCUUUAUUUUAUUUUAUUUCCAGUAAGUUAUUGUUUAUGAUAAUUUGCAACAAAUGUUUUUGUCAUUAUUUUGUUGGUGAAUGAUAAUAAGAUUAAGCUUUACUUUCUUAAGCUCCAAUUCCUUGGACGUUGGUGAUUUUUUUAUUAUAGUUGAGUCAUUGUAUGGUAUUAAUAUAAUUUAUGUCGCUUAAAAUUUAUAACUAAAAAUAUAAAAUUUAAAUUUUACUUCAAUUUAUUUGUAUUUAUAAAUGGUUAAUUCAAACUUAUUUUUUUCCUCAUUAUAUUUUAUAUUUAAAUUAACAUUUAAACUAUUUUUCAUUAGCAAUGUUGUUAAGAAUUAUAUUUUUUAGCACCAACAUCAAACUUACUAAAAUUAAAUUUUUAACUAUUUAAAAAAAAUAUUUUUAGCUAUUUAUCAUCAUAGAGAAAAAAAGGUGACGUCACCACGCCUCAUGCUUCGACACCACAAACUAGACUCUCAUCACCCGUAUUUAUCAUCGAUUCAAAUUCCAGAACUACCUAAAAAUAUAUCUUCAAACUUCCUCUGGUUAAGUUCAUUGAUAGUCAACUUACUAUCAUUUCUAAAAAAAAAACAAAUAAAUUGGUUAAUAGUAAUCUCAAUGAUUCAAUUUUAUUCUUACCAGUAUCUGUCCUUUAGAAAGGGGCUUAUAAAAGGGGUAGAGGUGAGUAAACUUGAGCUUCAGCUUUCCACAAACACCUUAAUUUGAAGACACAGUUCUCUCAUACUAAAAAAGACAUGGAAGUUUACCUUGUAAUUAGAGAUUUGGUUUCAUUGCUUGUUGUUGGGUUAUUAAUGAUAUGGGGAUGCAGAACUUUAAACUGGGUAUGGCUGGCCCCAAAAAGGCUCGAAAGCUGCUUGAGACAACAGGGUUUUGCAGGGAAUCCUUACAGGUUCCUUUCUGGUGACAUAAAAGAGCUCUCAACUAUGAGCAGACAAACAAGAGCCAAACCUAUGCCUCUUAGUGAUGAUAUUGGGCCUUAUGUUGUUCCUUUUCAACAUCAAACUGCUAACCAGUAUGGUAUGUUUUUUUUGUUUAAUCUGCAAUUUAUGAUAAUUCUUUGUUAUUUAUGUAUGGAAUUUAUUGGGAGGAAAUGCAGGAAAGAAUUCAUUUACGUGGUUUGGUCCAAGACCAAGGGUGAACAUUACGGACCCUGAAAAAAUAAGAGAAAUACUUAACAAAUUUAAUGACUUCCAGAAGAUACAUACCAAUCCACUGCUUAAUUUGCUUGUAAGCGGCCUUGCUAACCUCGACGGAGACCGAUGGAGCAAGCGUAGAAAAAUCAUAAACCCUGCAUUUCAUCAAGAUAAGUUGAAGGUAUAGAAUAGUGAUGGGUAAUCAGACUUUACAGAAAACAUCAUACUUAAACCUAUGCUUUUCUGAUUUAGAAAUAAUUGGAUGCAGAAUAUGUUGCCAGCAUUUUAUCAAAGUUGUAGUGACAUGUUAAGCAAAUGGGAGAAGAUGGUGUGUACAAAAGGAUACAGUGAGUUAGAUGUGUGGCCUUAUCUCGUAGAUUUGACAAGAGAUGUGAUUUCCCGAUCUGCUUUUGGAAGCAGCUUCGAAGAAGGCAAACGAAUUUUCCAAUUACUAGAGGACCAACUCGUUCACAUAAUCAAAUUAAUACAAACUGUUUACAUUCCAGGAUGGAGGUAACCGUCAACUUAAUUUACUUGAAAAAGGUUGCAAAUGUUGGAAUUCGCUAAAUUCGUGUUUGUUUUCUUGAAGGUUUUUGCCAACGAAGACAAACAGGGAGAUGAAGAUGAAACACAGGGACAUAAAAGAGUUGCUUAUGGAAAUGAUAAAGAGAAGGGAGAAGGCAAUUAAAGCAGGGGAAGAGAGCAAUGAGGACUUGUUGGACAUACUUGUGGAAUCCAAUAUCAGAGAAAUGGAAGCAAAGAAUAUUGGGAUGAGCAUUGAGGAUGUGAUUGAGGAAUGCAAGCUGUUUUACUUAGCUGGCCAAGAGACCACUUCGGUCUUACUGGUGUGGACUAUGGUUUUAUUAGCAAGGUAUCCCGAUUGGCAAAGUAAAGCAAGAGAGGAGGUUUUGCAUGUUUUGGGUGACAGUAAACCUGACGCUGAUGGCCUUAAUCGUCUCAAAGUUGUAAGUCCCUAGCAUGUCUUUUGAAGGUCCGAUCAAUGAGGUCGACAACUCAAAAACUUUGUUUCUUUUUUCGCUAAUUCUACAGGUAACAAUGAUAUUGUACGAGGUUCUAAGGCUGUACCCACCGGUGGUUGAGCUAGAACGUUCCGUUCCAAAAGAAAUAAAACUGGGGAAUUUGUUGUUACCAGUAGGAACAGAAGUUUCGGUUCCGAUCCUGCUGAUCCACCAUGACAAAGAUCUUUGGGGCGAUGACGCACGGGAAUUUAAGCCAGAGCGGUUCGCGGAAGGGGUUUCCAAAGCAACAAAGAGUCAAGUCACGUUUCUGCCAUUCGGAUGGGGUCCUAGGAUCUGUAUUGGCCAAAAUUUUGCUAUGAUGGAAGCCAAAAUGGCGAUGGCUAUGAUUCUCCAACGCUUCUGGUUCGAGCUUUCCCCUUCCUAUGCUCACUCUCCUUACGGCAGGGCAACUCUUCGUCCACAGCAUGGUGCACAGAUAAUUUUACAUAAACUUGGCUGUAAUUGAAUUGUUAUGUAAACAAAUCUUUGUGAAAACAUAGCGUUUUAGUUUAUCGUCAAAGUCCGGUGUCUGUAAUGGUACAAAUUCGAUGCAUGAAUAGUAAAGUUUGAGAUGUUUGGUGAAGUCCGAAAUAAUAUGCAGAAAUUGAGUGUGGUAAUUAUCAAUCAAAUAAUUCGGUACAAAGACUUACAUGGAAAUUAAAGCAGGGGGAGUUGAAAAUGACUACUCUGCUUUGGGCAUCAAUUUAGAAAGAUUUAAAGUACAAAUGUGUUAUUAGUUAAGGGAUUUGUUUUAAAGAGGGAAUGACAAUUAAACCUCAUGGUUGAUUUGUGGAAGGGAACCGAUGAUGGGAUGAUUAUUCUUAGUGGUAAAAAAAACUAUUGUGGAGGUUAUUAUACUUGUUAUCAUCGGCUUAAAAUUCGAAUGGGUUCAAGUCGGAUUAUAUCGAGCUUGUAAGAUGAGUUCACGGAUCAAAUUUGCAUAAUAAAAAUACUUAAAUGAAAAAAAUUUCUAUUUUAGAGGGACCAGAGCCCCUACCAAUUCCCGGCUCAGCUACUAAACAAUACCCAUAUCAUAUAAAUAAAUACCACCAUAAAAAAAACUCAAAGAAAAACACUGACAAAUGAUAAAUAGAUAGAUGUUGGAUAAGUGUCCAAAAUAUGAUUUAAGUGAAGAUACAUGGGGUAGGUGUCACGGAAAUGUGAAUACAAGAAUACUACUAAUGGGAUGUGUACAGUUGAAUGUAGGGAGCAAAAAGAGGAGUGAAUCAUUUUGGUAACAUUGGGACAAGAAACAUAAUGAACAAAAUGGAAGGAGAGGAAGCUAGUAAAAGAAAUUUUUUGGGUCAUAUAAUUUGUUUGGCAUAUAUUUUUAUAAUUUUUAAAUAUCAUUUUGGACUUGAAUUAUAAUUUUUUUAUAUAUUAUCUUAAAAUUGUAUAAAUUUUAAGGAGUUAAAACAAAAUUAUUCUAUUUUUAGAUGGUUAAAGUAGAGAUGAUAAUGGGUUGAGCUAUUCGGCCCAGCCUGACGAUCCACCCGAAAAAUAGGAAGGUUUGGGUAAAAAUAUAGGCUUGAAAUAUGAAUUUGAGCAAAAAAAGAGGCCCGUUUAGAAAAUGGGCCGAGCCUCGGGUAAAACCUUUUGGGUCUAGACCUGACCUAAAUUAUAUAUUAAAUAUAUAUAUUUUUAUUUUUAAUCAAAUAUACUUUUGUUUUAUUAUUAAUUUGGUUAUUAUUUUAGUUCUAAUUUGUUUCAAUUUUAAUAUAACUACUUUUUAUUAUAUUUUCAAUUUGUGCAUUGUUUUAAGAAUUAUUUUAGUCUCAUUAUUUAUUUAUUUUUUAUUUUAAUAUUUGUUUUAAAAUUUUUUAUUUAUUGAAAUAAGCUAAAAAAAUUAAUAUGGGUUGGACCAGACCGGGCUCGGGCCUAGUAAUUUUCUUUUGGGCCGGACUUAAACAAAUUUUUAAGCCCAUAUUUUGAAUUGGGUCCUACACUAGAAAAUGGACCUAAAAUUUUGUAUUACCUUUAGGUCAGAGCUAUCCUCGUUUUGCAUUUCUUUGAGAUUCAGCCUUAUUUACUUUUGAUUGCCCACUCAAUAGAGGGUUGAGUAGAAAUAUUUGGUGAAGCAAGCUAAGCUAUCAAUCAAGGUGUGCAUAAUUAUUUAAAUGUAAUUCUAAUAUUAAAAUAAAAUUUUUAUUAAUAUAGUAUCAACAAGCAUUAAAUGUAAUCAUCAUAUACUAUUAAAUUUUCAAUAAGAGAAAACAAGCUUGAACUUUAAAAACGAUGUUACUAAAAACAUUAUCACAAAUCUUGAAAUAUAAAAAAUACUUUUUAAUAUAAUAAAAAAAUAAUUUUAAAACCGAGAUGAAUAAAAUUCUAAUUUUAAUUAAUGAUACCAACAACAAAUCAAUAUUUAAAUUAAAAUUUAUCUUAAUUUAAUAUAAUAAAAUUGGACUUGAAUAUUGAAUUUUUGAGUCUUGGGCAAAGUAGAGGUGCUCAUGGGCCGGGUUGGGUCGGGUUUGGGAAAAAUUUCGGCCCGCAUCCUAGGCUCGGGCUCGGCCCGACCCAAAUAUGGGCCUAAAAUUUUGUCUAGGCCUAGCCCGGCCCGGCCCAACUCAUUUUUUUUAAUAAACACCAAAAAUUUAUUUUGAAAAUAAAAAAAUAAAAAAAGUAUUUUAAAAAUAUUUUAAAAUUUUUAAAAAAUAUAUAUAUUUAUUAUAUAUUCGGGCCGGGCCAGGCCCGAGCCAAAAAAGUGGCGCCCAAGGCCCGGCCUGUUUUCUAAACGGGACUCAUUUUUUACCCAAACCCAUAUUUCGGGCCUAUAUUUCUACCCGAAUCUCUCAUAUUUAGGGCGAACCGUCGGGCCGGACCGGGCCGCCCGGCCAUGAACACCUCUAGGACAAAGUCACUCAAUGAAUGCAUGGAAAGAAAUAAUGCAACUUGGUGAUAGCUUUUGUUGGAGUUAUAUGCUUUUUUUUUACGUAGUGGAACUUUCGGUGGAUUUUCAAGUUUCAUGAACUUUAUACUCUAUGCUUUACGUGAAAAAAAAAAUUCAUUGGACUUAAAAGUCUACCAAAAGUUUCACUAAAAAAAAAACCAUUGCUACAAGAUUACAACAUAAAGUUACAAUAAGAGCUUAUAACUCAACAAAGGCUAUCAAUAAAUAAUCUCAAACAAAUUAAAGAGAAAUGUUGAGAGUACCACUCGAAUAGUGAUUAACUUUAAAAAUUGAAAACCCAAAGUUAUAAUAUCCCAAACGAAAUCAAACCAUAAACAUUAAAUUUUUCGAGUCUACUAGAUACUGCAAAAAAUUCAGCUCCAACAGACACCAAAUGAACCUAUGAUCGAAGAAAAUACGAAAACUAGUCUAGCUAAAUCAAGCUGCCAAACUUACUUUUUAUCUUAUCUUUAAUUUGCUGUGAAAUUCAAAACUAAGGUUUUGUACUUAGAACAACUUUCAAAAAGUUAAUUUUGAAAAAUGGAUUGAAUUUUCAAAAUAGAUGAUAUUUUAUUGUGUUAAAAUUUUAUUCGUUGUUUGAAAAAAAAUUUAAAUCAUUUUCUUAGAAUUAUUUUUAGUGAAACAAACAUAUCAUAAAUAUAUUUGUUAUAAAAUAUUUAUAUUAAUAUUUUCUUUUAACAAUUAAAAUAUAUUUUGUGAUAAGGUAUAUUUUAUAAUAAUUAAUAUCAUAUAUACUUAAUAAUAAAUCAUGUCUAAUUAAAAUUUAAUUUCAAUUAAAUAUAUUAAUAAAGCUACAUAUAAUCAUAUUUUAUAUAAUAAAAAUAUUAAUAUAAAUAUUUUUUUAAUAAUAUAUUAAAGAAUAUUUAAAAUUUAAAUUUAUUAUUACUAAGAUUAAUUAUUAAAAUAAAAAUGUAAUGUUAAAUAAUUUAUCCAAUGAUAAGUUAUAUUAAUAAUUUAUUAUAUUAUUAAAUAUAAAUAAUUAAAUAUGUAUGUUUAAUAAUAUUAUGUUAUAAUAUUUAUUAUUAAUAUUUUAAUAUUUUUAAACAACCAUGUUUUAAAGAUGGUGGUGAUGGUGAUGGUGCAGGCCCCCUUGUUACAAUUACAAUAUUUUUAAGUGGGAUGCAUGUAAUAUAUUGUUAGGGUUUUAGAGUGUGUGGUCUUUAAAAGGGUUAAAUUAUAUAUUUAUAUAAUAUGAUUAUUGUUUAUAAAUAUAAUAUUGUAGAUAAACUUUUAUGCAUGUCAAUAUGUAUCCUACUCUGGGGUUAAUAUGUAUUUUUAGAUAUGGAUUCACCUAUAUAAUAGUAUGAAUCCAUCAUGCGGUCUCAUGAAAUAUACAAACACAUAUCGUGCGAACACAAAGUACGAACAAUAAAAAGUACAAAUCAAGACCAAUUGAGUAAUUGAAUAGCAGAUAGGUAAUAAUGACUAUCCCCUCUUGUUUGAAUUUAUUUUAUUUCCAGUGAGUUAUCGUUUAUGAUAAAUUUACAACAAAUGUUUUUAUCAUUAUUUUGUUGGUAAAUGAUAAUAAGAUUAAACUUUACUUUCUUAAGCUCCUUCAAUUCUUUGGACGUUAGCAAGUAAACUUGAGCUUCAGCAUUCCACAAACACCUUAAUUUGAAGACACAGUUCUCCCAUACUAAAAACAACAUGGACGUUUACCUUGUAAUUAGAGAUUUGGGCUCAUUGUUAGGUUAUUAAUGAUACGGGGAUGGAGAGCUUUAAACUGGGUAUGGCUGGCCCCAAAGAGGCUCGAAACGUGCUUGAGACUAGAGGUCCAGGCAAAUUUUUAGGCCCAUUUUUUAGGCCUGGACUGGGCCCGACUCGAAAUAUGAGCUUAAAAAUUUGUCUAAGUUCGGUCCAAAAGAAAAUUGUUAAGCCUAAGCCCGGCCCAUAUUAAAUUUUACAACACCAAAAAACUAUAUAUUUAAUAUAUAUAUUUGAUUAAAAAGUAUAUUUAAUUAAAAAUAAAAAUAUAUAUUUAAUAUAUAAUUCGGGCCGGGCCGAACUCGGGCCAAAAAAGUUUUACUCGGGGCUGGUCCGUUUUCUAAACAGACCUCGUUUUUUUGUCAAAAUCCAUAUUUUAGGCUUAUAUUUUUACCCGAAACUUCCUAUUUUUCGGGUGAACCGUCAGGCCGGACUAGGUAGCCCAACCAAUGAUCACCUCUACUUGAGACAACAGGGUUUUGCAGGGAAUUCUUACAGGUUCGUUUCUGGCGACAUAAAAGAGCUCUUCACUAUAAGCAUACAAACAAGAGCCAAACCUAUGCCUCUUAGUGAUGAUAUUGGGCCUUAUGUUGUUCCUUUUCAACAUCAAACCGUCAAUCAGUAUGGUAUGUUUUUUAAUUUAAUCUGCAAUUUAUGAUAAUUCUUUGCUAUUUAUGUAUGGAAUUUAUUGGGAGGAAAUGCUGGGAAGAAUUCAUUUACGUGGAUUGGUCCAAGAUCAAGGGUGAACAUUACGGACCCGGAAAAAUAAGAGAAAUACUUAACAAAUUUAAUGACUUCCAGAAGGUACGUACCAAUCCACUGCUUAAUUUGCUUGUAAGCGGCCUUGUUAACCUCGAAGGAGACCGAUGGAGCAAGCAUAGAAAAAUCAUAACCCUUCAUUUCAUCAAGAUAAGUUGAAGGUAUAGAAUAGUGAUGGGUACUUAGACUUAAUUUACAGAAAACAUCAUACUUAAAUCUAUGCUUUUCUGAUUUAGAAAUGAUUGGAUGCAGAAUAUGUUGCCAGCAUUUUAUCAAAGUUGUUGUGACAUGUUAAGCAAAUGGGAGAAGAUGGUGUGUACAGAAGGAUACAGUGAGUUAGAUGUGUGGCCUUAUCUUGUAGAUUUGACAAGAGAUGUGAUUUCCCGAUCUGCUUUUGGAAGCAGCUUCGAAGAAGGCAGACGAAUUUUCCAAUUACUAGAGGACCAACUCGUUCUCACAAUCAAAUUAAUACAAACUGUUUACAUUCCAGGAUGGAGGUAACCCUCAACUUAAUUUACUUGAAAAAGGUUGCAAAUGUUGGAAUUGGCUAAAUUCGUGUUUGUUUUCUUGAAGGUUUUUGCCAACAAAGACAAACAGGGAGAUGAAGAUGAAACACAGACAUAAAAGAGUCGCUUAGGGAAAUGAUAAAGAGAAGGGAGAAGGCAAUUAAAGCAGGGGAAGAGAGCAAUGAGGACUUGUUGGACAUACUUGUGGAAUCCAAUAUCAGAGAAAUGGAAGCAAAGAAAAAGGGGAUGAGCAUUGAGGAUGUGAUUGAGGAAUGCAAGCUGUUUUACUUUGCUGGCCAGGAGACCACUUCGGUCUUGCUGGUGUGGACUAUGGUUUUAUUAGCAAGGUAUCCCGAUUGGCAAAGUAAAGCAAGAGAGGAGGUUUUGCAUGUUUUGGGUGACAGUAAACCUGAUGCUGAUGGCCUUAAUCGUCUCAAAGUUGUAAGUCCCUAGCAUGUCUCUUGAAGGUCCGAUCUCUGAGGUCGACAACUCAAAAACUUGGUUUCUUUGUUUCGCUAAUUCUACAGUUAACAAUGAUAUUGUACGAGGUUCUAAGGCUGUACCCACCAGUGAUUGAGCUAGGACGUUCCGUUCCAAAAGAAAUAAAACUGGGAAAUUUGUUGUUACCAGCAGGAACAGACGUUUCGGUUCCAAUCCUGCAGAUCCACCAUGACAAAGAUCUUUAGGGCGACGACGCACGGGAAUUUAAGCCACAGCGGUUCACGGAAGGGGUUUCCUAAGCAACAAAGAGUCAAGUCACGUUUCUGCCAUUCGGAUGGGGUCCUAGGAUCUGCAUUGGCCAAAACUUUGCCAUGAUGGGAACCAAAAUGGCGAUGGCUAUGAUUCUCCAACGCUUCUGGUUCGAGCUUUCCUCUUCCUAUGCUUACUCUCCUUACAACAUGGCAACUCUUCGUCCACAGCAUGGUGCACAGAUAAUUUUACAAAAACUUGGCUGUAAUUGAAUUGUUAUGUAAACAAAUCUUUGUGAAAAUAUAGUGUUUUAGUGUAUCGUCAAAGUCUGCCUGUAAUGGUACAAUUCCGAUGCAUGAAUAGUAAAUCUUGAGAUGUUUGGUGAAGUCCGAAAUAAUAUGCAGAAAUUGAGUGUCUUGAAUGGAUGUAGUAUUUAAUGGUGGACAUAGUUGAGGGACUAAUGUGGUAAUUAUCAAACAAAUAAUUGCAUAUGGUACAAAGACUUGUAUGGAAAUUAGAGCAGGGCGAGUUGAAAAUUACUACUUUGCUUCGGGCAUCAAUUUAGAAAGAUUUAAAGUACAAAUGUAUUAUUAGUUUAAGGGAUUUGUUUUAAAGAAGGAAUGACAAUUAAACCUCAUGGUUGAUGUGUGGAAGGGAACCAAUGAUGGGAUGAUUACUCUUAGUGGUAAAAAAAAAAACUAUUAAGGUGGUUAUUAUAGUUGUUAUCACCGGCCCAAAAUUCGAAUAGGUUCAGGUCGGAUUAUAUUGAGCUUGUAGAUGAGUUUGCAUGAUAAUAGGUGUUCACAGAAAGAUAUCUAUAGUUUCCUACAAAGUCACAUGUGAGAUCGUGCAUUGGGACCGCAUAAAAAUGUUUUAUGUUUAGAAUAUGAUACGUGUCUAUGUGUAUGGAAUCUACCUAAUAUAUCAUAUUAAUUAAUAGUAUCAAUUGCGGAGCCAAAAAAUUAUUUCUGAGGGGUCAGAAUUAAAUUGUAUAUUUUUACAAAAAUAAAAAUUAAAUUUCACUAUUUUAAUAGUUUAUUUCUUUUUAAUUUUUAAAUGAUUAAAUUAAAUUUUUAUAAAUUUUUGGGAUCAAAGUACAAUUUUAUCAUUUCUAAUUUAAAAUUUUAUAAAAUAUAAAAAGUUUAUAUGAAAAGUUUUCUAUUUUAGAGUGGCCAAAGCCCCUGCCAACUUCCGACUCGAUCACUAAACAAUAUAAAUAAAUAAAUACCACCAUCUAAAAGACUCAAGAAAAACACUCAACGAUAAAUAGAUAGAUGUUGGGUAAAGAUACGUUUGGAUGGGCGGUGCGUUUACUUGCGGUUAGUAUAAAAAUAGCGGUGGCGGUUAGAUUAGAUACUAUAGCAACACUGUAGCGUAAGACAAAAAAUAAGCUAAACGUACUGCACUGCACUUAAUCGCCCAUCCAAACUCACCCUAAGUGUACAAAAUAUGAUUUAAGUGAAGAUACGUAGGGUAGGUGUCAUGGAAAUGUAAAAGACAAGAAUCCCACUAAUGUAUGGGAUGUGUACAGCUGAAUGUAGGGAGCAAAGAGGAGUGAAUCAUUUUGGUAACAUUUGGACAAGAAACAUAAUGAACAAAAUGAAAGGAGAGGAAGCUAGUAAAAGAUUUUUUUGAGUUAUAUAAUUUGUUUGGCAUAUAUUUUUAUAAUUUUUAAAUAUCAUUUUGGAGUUGAAUUAUAAUUUCUUUUUAUGUUUUAAAACAUAAUUAUUCUAUCUUCAAAGGGUUAGAGUAGAGGUGAGCAUGGGUCGGGCUACUCGGCCCGAAAUGUGAGAGAUUUGGGCAAAAAUAUAGGCUCAAAAAAUGGACUUGGACAAAAAAAUAUAAGACCCGUUGAAAAAUGGGCCGGGCAUUGGGUAAGGCAUUUUUGGCCCUGGGCCCGGCCCAAUCCUAAUUCACUAAAGGACAAAAAAAAUUUGAUUUUUAAAUAUUAUUUUCUUCCUAUUUUGCUACCAUUUUACUAUUAUGUUGCUACUAUUUUGUUGUUAUUUUUUGGAUAUUGUAUAAAACUUAUUUUAUUGUUAAUUUUGUUAUUAUUUUAAAGACAUUUGUUAAUUUUGUUAUUAUUUUAGAGACAUUUGCUUGUUAAGUUGUAUCUAUCUUAGUGUUAUUUAAGUGUACAUAUUUUUUAAAAUUUAUUUUCAAUUUAUUGGGAAAUAUUUAUUUUGAUGUUUUUAGUAUUUUGGAUGUAUUAUAUAUAUUAAAAUUAUAUAAAAAUUAAUAUGGCCGAGCCGAGUCAGGCCCAGAUUUUAGCAUUUUUAUUCAGGUCGGGCUUGAGCAAAAUUUUAAGCCCAUUUUUUGGGCCAAACCAGGCCUGGGCUUAGCAAAUGGGCCUAAAUUUUUAGUCAAGCCCGACCUAAACCCGAUCCGGCCCAUGCUCACCUCUAGAUCAGAGCUGCCCUCGCUUUGCAUUUCUUUGAGAUUCAGUCUUAUCUACUGUUGAUUGCCCACUCAAUGGAGGGUUGAGUAGAAAGAUUUGGUGAAGCAAGCUAAGCUAUCAAUCAAGGUUGGAGAAAGCUUAGGAGGUCACAAUGCAUAAUUAUUUAAAUGUAAUUCUAAUAUUUAAAUAAAAUUUAUUAAUAUAGUAUUAACAAGCCCUAAAUGUAAUGAGUAUAUACUAUUACAUUUUUAAGAAGAGAAAACAUGUUUGAACCUUAAAAACAUCAUUAUUAAAAAUGAUAAUUACAAAUUUUAAAAUAUAAAAAAUAUAAUUAAAAAUUAAUUUUAAACCCGAGCUGGAUAAAAUUCUAAUUUUAGAUAACGAUACUAAUAAGAAAUCAAUAUUAAAAUGAAAAUGAAAAGUAAUUUAAUAUAAUUUUUGAGUCUUGGGCAAAGGCACUCAAUGAAUGCUUGGAAAGAAAUAAUGCAACUUGGUGAUAGCUUUUGUUGGAGUAGUAUGCUCUUAUUAUAGUUUUAUGUUUUUAUCUUGCAAAAACAACAUAUUGGAGUUUUCGGCAUGAUUUUUUCUUAAUACUUUACAUGAAAAAUAAUAAUGGGACUUAAAAAUCUAUCAAAAGCUUCACCAUAAUAAUAAUAAUAAUAAUAAUAAUAAUAAAUUGCUACAAUAUUACAACACAAAGUUACAAUAAGAGCUUAUAACUCAACAAAGGUUAUCAAUAAAUAAUCUCAGGCAAGCUAAAGAGAAAUGUUGAGAAUACCACCCGAAUAGUGACUGACUUUAAAAGUUGAAAACCCGAAGCUAUAGUAUCUCAAACGAAAUCAAACCAUUAACAUUAAAAUUUUCAAGUCUACUAGCUACUGUAAAAAAUGCAGCUCCAACAUACACCAAAUGAGUCUUUGAUCGAAGAAAGUACAAAAACUAGUCUGGGUAAACCAAGCUGCCAAACUUACUUAUCUUAUCUUUAAUUUUGCAGUGAAAUUAAAAAUUAAGUUUUUGUUUAUUUCACUUGGAACAACUUUCAAAAAAUUAUUUUUGAAAAAUGGAUUGGUUUUUCGAAAUAGAUGAUAUUUUAUUGUGUUAAAAUUUUAUUCGUUGUUGGAAAACUUUUUUUAAAUCAUUUUCUUAAAGUUAUUUUUAGUGAAACAAACAUAACAUAAAUAUAUUUGUUACAAAAAAAUUAUAUUAGUAUUUUCUUUUGACAAUUAAAAUUUAUUUUAUGAUAAGACAAUAUUUUGUAAUAAUUAAUAUCAUAUAUAUAUACGUAAUAAAAAAAUCUUGUUUAAUUAAAAUUUAAUUAAAAUUAAAUAUAUUAAUAAAGCUACAUAUAAUCAUAUUUUUUAUAAUUAAAAUAUUAAUAUAAAUAUUUUUCAAUAAUAUAUUAAAAUAUUAAAAUUUAAAUUAUUAUUACUUAAAUUAAUUAUUAAAAUAAAAAAUUUAAUAUUAAAUAAUUUAUUCAAUGAUAAGUUUUAUUAAUAAUUUAUUGUAUUAUUAAAUAUAAUUAAUUAAAUAUGCAUAUUUAAUAAUAUUACGUUAUAAUAUUUUAAUAUUCUUAAACAGCCAUGUUUUUAAGAUGCUGGUGAUGGUGAUGCUGCGGGCCUCUCUUGUUACAAUUACUAUAAUUUUUUGUGCAAUAAUUGAAGUUGUUGGGUGGUCAAGCAAACCUCUUUUGACUGAGAUGCAUAUAAUAUACCCGCAUGUCCCCGCCUCCUAAAAUUUAAAUUUGUUAUUUGAAUCUUUAAAUUUUUUAAUAUAAUAUACCCGCAUGUCCCCGCCUCCUAAAAUUUAAAUUUGUUAUUUGAAUCUUUAAAUUUUUUAAAAAUUUUAAAUUCAUAAAAGUAAAAUUAUACUUUGACCCUCUAAAAUUAUAAAAAUUUAAUUAAUCUUUUAAAUUCAUUGGGCCCCUAAUAUAUUGUUCAGGCUUCACCCUUGAUACUGAUGUUGACUAUUUUAGAGUAUGUGUCUUCUUUAACAGGGUUAAAUUAUAUAUUUAUAUAAUAUAGUUAUUGUUUAUGGACGUGACAUCGUAACUAGGUUCUUAUGCAUGUCAACAUAUAUCCUAUUUUAAGGUUAACACGUAUUUUUAAAUGUGAAUUCACCUAUAUAAUGGUAUGAACCAUCAUGCAGUCUCAUAAAAUAUGCGAAUAUAUGUCGUGCGAACACAAAGUACAAUCCACACAGAAUACGAAUUAAGACCCAAUUGAAUAAUCGGAUACGAAUCAGUAAUAAUGAAUUUCAUAACAGCCACCAACCCCUCUUUUGUUUUAAUUUAUUUUAUUUCCAGUAAGUUAUUGUUUGUGAGAAUUCACAACAAAUGCUUUUGUCAUUAUUUUGUUGGUAAAUAAUAAUAAGAUUAAACUUUACUUUCUUAAGCUCCUUCAAUUCUUUGGAAGUUGGUGGUUUUUUAUUCUAAUCUUAUUUUUUUUAUUAAUUUCUUUUUUUAUAAUAAAUGUGUUUAUAGAUCAGGUUGGAUUAUAAUUGAAUCAUUGUCUGGUAUUAACAUAAUUUAAAUCGAUUAAAAUUUAUUCGACUGGAAAUAUAAAUUUAAAAUUUUACUUCAAUUUAUCUUAAUUUAUAAAUUGUGAAUUUAAAUUUAUUUAUUUUCUCUCAUUAUAUUCAGUUUUUCGGAUCAUAUUUGGCCCAGAACAAAAACUAGAACAAAAAAACAAAUAUAUAUGUUUUCCAAAAAUUAAAUUGUUAACUUUAAAAAAAUAUAUUUUUAGCUAUUUAUCAUCAUAGAGAAAAACAAAUAAGGUCACCUCGCCUUAUGCUUCAACACCUCAACCUAGAUUCUCAUCACCUGUAUUUAUCAUCGAUUCAGAUUUUUAUUUUUACUAUAUUCUAGAUCUACCUAUAAAUAUAUCUUCAAACUUCCUCUGGUUAAGUUCAUUCAUAGAUAGGUGAGUAAACUUGAGCUUCAGCUUCAACAAACACCUUAGUUUGCAAUUCUCUCAUACUAAAAAUAUGGAAGUUUACCAUGUAAUUAGAGAUUUGGUCUCAUUGCUUGUUGUUGGUUUAUUAAUGAUAUGGGGAUGGAGAGCUUUAAACUGGGUAUGGUUGGCCCCAAAGAGGCUCGAAAGGUGCUUGAGACAACAGGGUUUUGCAGGGAAUCCUUACAGGUUCCUUUCUGGUGACAUAAAAGAGCUCUUAACUAUGAGCAGACAAACAAGAGCCAAACCUAUGCCUCUUAGUGAUGAUAUUGGGCCUUAUGUUGCUCCUUUUCUUCAUCAAACUGUCAACCAGUAUGGUAUGUUUAAUUAUUAUUUAAUCUUCAAUUUAUGAUAAUUCUUUGUUAUUUAUGAAUGGAAUUUAUUGGGAGGAAAUGCAGGAAAGAAUUCAUUUACGUGGAUUGGUCCAAGACAAAGGGUGAACAUUAUGGACCCUGAAAAAAUAAGAGAAAUAUUUACCAAAUUUAAUGACUUCCAGAAGGUGCGUACCAAUCCACUGCUUACUUUGCUUGUAAGCGGCCUUGUUAACCUCGAAGGAGACCGAUGGAGCAAACAUAGAAAAAUCAUAAACCCUUCAUUUCAUCAAGAUAAGUUGAAGGUAUAGAAUAGUGAUGGGUACUUAAGACUUAAUUUACAGAAAACAUGAUACUUAAAUCUAUGCUUUUCUGAUUUAGAAAUGAUUGGAUGCAGAAUAUGUUGCCAGCAUUUUAUCAAAGUUGUUGUGACAUGUUAAGCAAAUGGGAGAAGAUGGUGUGUACAGAAGGAUACAGUGAGUUAGAUGUGUGGCCUUAUCUUGUAGAUUUGACAAGAGAUGUGAUUUCCCGAUCUGCUUUUGGAAGCAGCUUCGAAGAAGGCAGACGAAUUUUCCAAUUACUAGAUGACCAACUCGUUCUCAGAAUCAAAUUACUACAAACUGUUUACAUUCCAGGAUGGAGGUAACCCUCAAUUUACUUGAAAAAGGUUGCAAAUGUUGGAAUUGGCUAAAUUCGUGUUUGUUUCCUUGAAGGUUUUUGCCCACAAAGACAAACAGGGAGGUGAAGAUGAAACACAAAGACAUAAAAGAGUCGCUCAGGGAAAUGAUAAAAAGAAGAGAGCAGGCAAUUAAAGCAGGGGAAGAGAGCAAUGAGGACUUGUUGGACAUACUUGUGGAAUCCAAUAUCAGAGAAAUGGAAGCAAAGAAAAAGGGGAUGAGCAUUGAGGAUGUGAUUGAGGAAUGCAAGCUGUUUUACUUUGCUGGCCAGGAGACCACUUCGGUCUUACUGGUGUGGACUAUGGUUUUAUUAGCAAGGUAUCCCGAUUGGCAAAGUAAAGCAAGAGAGGAGGUUUUGCAUGUUUUGGGUGACAGUAAACCUGAUGCUGAUGGCCUUAAUCGCCUCAAAGUUGUAAGUCCCUAGCAUGUCUUUUGAAGGUCCGAUCAAUAAGGUCGACAACUCAAAAAUUUGGUUUCUUUUUUCGCUAAUUCUACAGUUAACAAUGAUAUUGUACGAGGUUCUAAGGCUGUACCCAUCAGCGACUGAGCUAGGACGUUCCGUUCCAAAAGAAAUAAAACUGGGAAAUUUGUUGUUACCAGCAGGAACAGAAAUUUCGGUUCCGAUCCUGCUGAUCCACCAUGACAAAGAUCUUUGGGGCGAUGACGCACGGGAAUUUAAGCCAGAGCGGUUCGCGGAAGGGGUUUCCAAAGCAACAAAGAGUCAAGUCACGUUUCUGCCAUUCGGAUGGGGUCCUAGGAUCUGCAUUGCCCAGAAUUUUGCUAUGAUGGAAGCCAAAAUGGCGGUGGCCAUGAUUCUCCAACGCUUCUGGUUCGAGCUUUCCCCUUCCUAUGCUCACUCUCCUUGCAGCAUGGUAACGCUUCGUCCACAGCAUGGUGCACAGAUUAUUUUACAUAAACUUGGCUCUAAUUGAGUAGUUAUGUAAACAAAUCAUUGUGAAAAUAGUGUUUUAACGUAUCGUAAAAACUCCGGUGUCUGUAAUGGAACAAUUCCGAUGCAUGGAUAGUAAAUUUUGUGAUGUUUGGUGAAGUCCGAAAUAAUAUGCAGAACUUGAGUGUCCUGAAUGGAUGUAGUAUUUAAUGGUGGACAUAGUUGAGGGACUAAUGUGGGAAUUAUCAAACAAAGAAUUGCAUAUGGUACAAAGACUUGUAUGGAAAUUAGAGCAGGGGGAGUAGAAAAUGACUACUUCUACGGGCAUCAAUUGAGAAAGAUUUCCGGUGCAAAUGUUAGCAAAUUUUUGAGCUUCAGCCUUAAACAUUAGCAAGAUUGCAAUACCGGGAUUAUCUAGUGUUGGUUGCCCACUCAAUUGAGGGUUAAGUUGAAGGAUUUGUUGAAGCAAGCUAAGCUAUCAAUCAAGGUUGGAGCAAGCUUAGGAGGUCACAAUACAUCAUUAUUGCAUAAUUAUUUAAAUGAAAUUUAAUAUUUAAAUAAAAAAUAUUAAUAUAGUACCAACAAUAUUCCAUUUCUUUUAACCAAGUGUUUCUAGAUUAUGAAAUUCAUUAAUGAUUUGUAAAAUAUAUUGAUGCGAUCCCGGCCGCAUCAUGUUUCGAUACAACUCGAUGACCUCAGAAUUGACCUAAACUCUAGGGGCCCAAGUGCAAAAUGAAGCUUAAUUUCAGCUCAAUGAGCUCAAUUCUAGCUUCUUCAAGCUCGUCUAGUUCAACCCAAGCUCAUUUAGCUUAACUUCAACCCAUUUUUAAUUUGUUGGAAUAAGUAUUUAGUUGCUGGAAUAAAUUACUCAUCUUAGUUAAUUGAGUUCAUCUUAGUUAAUUAAGUUGUUGGAAUAUAUUACUCAUCUUAGUUAAUUUAGUUGCUAGAAUAAUUUAUUGUUGCAUGUGUUUUUAAGUUUAUUAAAUUCAGUUAAGUGUUAAAUGUGUUUAUUUACAGUUUAUUAACUAAGCUUGUUAAGUCUAAUAUGUGUUAAAAUGUGUUUAAUGUGUUUGUUUGUAGGUGACUAAUCAGUUGGAAACAAUUAUGUACAAGGGCUGUUACAAAGUGUUAAAUGCGACUAUUCAUUUGGAAUCGGUUACAUACAAGGGGCUAUUACAUUAUUUAAAGGAGAGCAUUAUACAUCAUUUAAAGGAGAAUUUAAAGCUUUUCUUAAAACUUUUUGGCUGCUCAAGAAUGAAAUCUAAGCAUUCAAGCUUAUUAAAUCAACUGAAUUAGAACAUUAAAUGAUCUUAUUGAUAGUUGCUGUUAUUUAGGCCUAGAAUUUCAAGAGUUUGUGCUUAGUGACUAAGUUAAUUUCAGCUCAUUAUUAGCUCAUUAAGCUGAACAAAAGUGACUAUUCGGCUAGGCCUCAUCUAGCACUAUAAAUACUUGUAAUCAGCUCAUUGUAAAAAAAACUUUUUGCUGAAUUUAUGCUAAAUUUGAAACUUGUGAGAUUUCCAAUUCUCGUUGUUCUUUCGAGAUUGAAUUGACUUAUCAAGUUUUCUUGUGGCAUCAUUCUUUCUUUUGUUUAAACCGAAUCUUAUCACCUUUUGGUGUGGCGUUCAUAUACAUUUGGUUCCUAUCACUUUUGAUAGUGGGUAAAGGUCAUUGCUGCUUUCUUUAAAUCGUAAAUCACCUAAGAGCCAUUUUGAGACUCGGGUCAACAAUCUAAUAUUGUUGGUUCAUUCUCGGUCUUAGCCAAAUUAUCCAUUAUUUACUUAACCAUUUUACCUACUACCAUUGUUUGAAGCCAUUUAUCCUAUUUUGUUUCAUUUAACUGAAACGAACUUAUCCUUACUCAAUUCACGAUCGGGUAAUCUAAACGACUCGAAUCAUUCCGAAACGAGUUCGUAUCAUAUAUCCUCCAUUCUUAUUGAGUGGGUGUAAUGAAAAUUCUCCUAUUUCUAAUUGUGAUAAAGUAGAAACUCUCUUUAGAAAAAAGGCAGCAACAUUUUUCAAUUAUUAAUUGAACACCUUGGUGAAUUUUCGUUUUUUUUCUUUUUUUCUUUUUACGGUUCAAUUUUCGUUUGGGUAUUGUAAUUUCAGGUUAAUCAUUGUUUGGUUGAUAUUCUCAACUUCAAUCUUUAAUUUACUUGAGAUUAUUAGUUGAUUGUUUUUGUUGGAAUUAUAUGAUUUUAUUGUGUAUUUAUGUUUUAAUCUUUUAGAAAGAAGUUUUUAUGUGGACUUUCAAGCUUCGUAAUUUUUAUUAUUUGCUUUACGUAAAAAAAACUCGUGGGAUACAAAAAUUCACAAAAAAACUUGCUAUAAGAUUACAACACAAAACCAUAAGCUUAUAACUCAACAAAAGCUAUCAAUAAAUAAUCUCAAGCUAGCUAAAGAGAAAUGUAAAGAAUAUCACCCAAACAGUAACUUGCUUUAAAAGUUAAAAAUCCAAAGUUAUAGUACCCCAAACGAAAAUCGAAUAUUAAACAUUAAAGAUCUUCGAUUCUACUAGCUAUUGUAAAAAAAAAAAAUUCCAACGGACACCAAAUAGACCUUUGAUCGAAGAAAAUACGAAAACUAGUCUGGUUAAAACUACAUGCCAAACUCACUUUUUCUCAUUUCUUUAACUUGCGGUGAAAUUCAAAACUAAGGUUAUAUUUUUUUCACUGAAAUUAACUUUAAAAAAAUUAUCUCUAAAAAAUGAUUGAUUUUUCAAAAAAGAUUGAUAUUUUUUUAUGUUUGGAUGAUUUUUUGUAAAAUAUAUUUCGUUGUUUGACAAAUUUUUUUGAAAUAAUUUUCUUAGAGUUGUUUUUAGUAAAACAAACAUAAGAUAGAUAUAUUUGUUACAAAAGAUUAUAGUAACAUUUUCUUUUGACAAUUUAAAUUUAUUUUAUAACCAGAUGAUAUUUUAUAAUAAUUAAUAUUAUAUAUAAACUUAAUAAUAAACAAUAUCUAAUUAAAACUUAAUUUAUAUUAAAUAUAUUAAUAAAGCUAAGUAUAAUUUAAACAAAUACUCAUGUUUUAUAUCAUUAAAAUAUUAAUAUAAAUAUUUUUCAAUAAUAUAUUAAGAAUAUUAUUUAAAAUUUAAAAUUAUUAUUUUUAAAAUUAAUUAUUAAAAUAAAAAUGUAAUAUUAAAUAAUUUAUCAAAAUGAUAAGUCAUAUUAAUAAUUUAUUAGAUUAUUAAAUAUAAAUAAUUAAAUAUGUAUAUUUAAUAAUAUUGAACAUUAUAAUAUUUUUUAUUAAUAUUUUAAUAUUAUUAAUAUAAUAAUAUUGGACUUGAUUCAAGUUAAUUUUUAUAUAAAAAAAUAAAAUUACAUGUAAAUGAACUCAUUUUCAAAAAAAUAACUUGUACUUUUAAAAAAGGUAAACUAAUUUACAGAAAAAUAAACUUAUUUUCUGUUAAUCUAUAAUUUUUUUUGUUAAUCAAAUUAUUUUCAUGAAAUAAAUAUAAAAAAAUACAAAAAAAAAACAGUUUCCAUAUUAACACUCAAUACUAAACUGUCAUUUUCCUCAGCUUCCCUAAUUUGUAUGUAGCAGUGAACGUUUGAUCGAAUCGAGUAAAAAAAAUUGAGUUGACGAGUCAUAUUUUAUCAUCUUAACUUGAUUUGAGAUUUUUUUAAAUCAAGUCAAAGACUAAGAGCACAUAAAUUUGAAACCUUAUCUAUUUGAAUUUGUUUUUAAAAAAAAAGAAAAAAAAUACUUUAGCAUGAUAAACUUGAAUUGUGAAUUAACUUAUUUAGAUCCCAAAAUUAUUAUUUUAUAAUUUUUUUAAAAAAUAUAAAUUUUAAAAUUUUUAUAAAUAUUUUGAAUUGAAUUUUUGUUGAGAGAGAGACCGAUCUAUCAUUUUCAAAAUUAAAAAAAAGACCAAACUAUAUUUACAGCAAUUUAUUAUUCGAAUUAUUUAAAUUAUAUAAUUUAACUCAAUUUAAAAUCGAAACUCGAAUAACUAAAUUUAAUUAACCCGAAAUUUAUUUUUUAAAUUUUUUAAAUCAAAUCGAAUUUUGUUCGCCCUACAUCAAUAACUUUGUAUCCAUAUCAAGCUUUUUUUUAAGCUAUAUAUAUUAUUUUAGAGAAUACAUGGUCACCACGGUUCAAUGAUUGAACACCACUCCACUCUCCACUUUUUUUUGUGGUUUAUCCUCUUAAUUUUUUGAGGAUAUCAUUUACUAAAUAAUUUAUUUUUUACAUAAAUUUUAAUAUAUAUUAAUAAUAAAUUAAUUCAAUUGGUAAUAUUUAACUAUUCUCAUGACUCAUUUUUAAUAAAGAAAAUAAUAAAAUUCAAUUAUGAUAAGGAGGUUUUAUUUUUAACAAAAAUUAUUUUUUAUAUUUCUAAGUUUAAAUCUAAAUUUAUACAAGUUAUUCUUUAUUUUAUAUCUAAUUAUUGUAAAACAUAAAUAAUAAUUUUUUUUUUUCCUUUUCAUGCUACCAAACAAUCCAUUAAUCAUUAAUUAUAUUAAAAUCUUUGACUUAUUAAUAUUUAUGGACAGUAAAUCGGAUGCUAAAGAAAUCUUAGUCAAACCAAAAAGAAAGAAGAGAUAGAGGUGGGCAAAGCUGAGGUUCAGCUUUCAUAAACACCUUCAUUUGAAGACACAGUUCUCAUACUCAAACCAAAAGACAUGGAAGUUUUCCUUGUAAUUAGAGAUCUGGUUUCACUGCUUGUUGUUGGGUUAUUAAUGAUAUGGGGAUGGAGGGCUUUAAACUGGGUAUGGUUGACCCCAAAGAGACUCGAAAGGUGCUUGAAACAACAGGGUUUUGCAGGAAAUCCUUAUAGGUUCCUUUCUGGAGACAUCAAAGAGAGCUUCACUAUGAGCAGACAAACAAGAGCCAAACCUAUGCCUGUUAGUGAUGAUAUUGAGGCUUAUGUUGUUCCUUUUCUUCAUCGAACUAUCAACAAUCAUGGUAUGUUCUACAUUAAUCUGCAAUUUCAUCGUGAUAUUCAGAUUUCUUUUUUUAUGUCUGAAGUUUAUUAGGGGAUAUGCAGGAAAUAAUUCAUUUAUGUGGUUUGGUCCAAGACCAAGGGUGACAAUUAUGGACCCUGAAAAAAUAAGAGAAAUAUUUACCAAAUUCAAUGACUUCCAGAAGCCUCAUUCCAAUCCACUGGUUAGAUUCCUUGUAGGUGGCCUUUCCAACCUCGAGGGAGACCAAUGGAGUAAGCAUAGAAAAAUUUUAAACCCUGCAUUUCAUCAAGAUAAGUUGAAGGUAU
rnacentral:lncRNA from 1 species